UUUUUUUUUUUUUUUUGCGUCAAGUAUAAAGUAGAUUUUACUUGACAUUUUAUUCGAGUUAAAAGUAGUGAACAUUUACUUGACACAAAAAACAUGUCAGGUAUGGUUUUAAAAAAGAAAAUUUUUACGUUAACUUUUAUAUGACAUGGUUUUCGCGUCAAAUAUAGUGGAGAUUUAUUUGACAGUUUAUUCGUGUCAAAUAUAGUGGAGAUUUUACUUGACGUUUUUUUCAUGUCACGUAUAGUGGACAUUUACUUGACGCGAAAACAACGUCAAAUAUAGUUAACAUUUUUUAUUUAACACUUUUAAAAUGUCAAUUGCCAAAAUGUCAAAUAUAAAACGUUUAAAAAUAUGAAAAUAAAAAGUAUAAAAAUCAACUUAUUAAAAUAAUUUUUUAAAAUCAACUUAUUAAAAUAAUUUUUUUAAAAUCAACUUAUGAAAAUAAAUCAUUUGAAAAUUUUCACUUAAAUAAUUUGAAAUCUCUCAUUAAAUUAAAUUUACUAAAAUCUCUCGUUAAAAUAAAUUUGUUGAAAAUUUUCCUUUAAAUAGAAUUAUUGAAAAUAUUUCCUUAAAUAGAUUUAUUAAGAUAUUUUAAUGAAAAACUCAUUAAAUAAAUUUAUUAAAAUAUUUUAAUAAAAUAUUAUUAAAUAAAUUUUUUGAAAUCUUUCACUAAAACAAACUUUUACAAAUCUUUGACUAAAAUAAAUUUGUUGAAAUCUUUACUUAAAUUAAAUUUAUUAAAAUCUUUCUUUUAAAUAAACCUAUUGAAAAUAUUUUAUUUAAAUAAAUUUAUUGAAACCAUUUCUUUAAAUAAAUUUAUUAAAACAUUUUAAUGAAAAGUUUAUUAAAUAAAUUUAUUAAAAUACUUUAAUAAAAAAUUGUUAAAUAAAUUUUUUGAAAUUUAUCACUAAAAUAAUUUUUUGAAUUCAUUAAAAUAAGUUUAUUGAAUCUUUCCUUUAAACAAUUUUAUUGAAAAUAUUUCAUUAAAUAAAUUUAUUAAAAUAUUUUAUACAAAAUUUAUAAAUAAAUUUAUAUAUUUUAAUGAAAUCUUUCAUUAAGUAAAUUUAUCAAAGUAUUUUGAUGAAAUGCUUAUUUAAUAAAUAUUAAAAUAUUUUAAUGAAAACAUUAUUAAAUGUAUUUGUUAAAAACUUUAACGAAAAUAUUAUGAAAUAAAUUUAUUAAAAAAAUUAAUAAAAAUAAUUAAAUAAAUUUAUUGAAAUCUUUCAUUAAAAUAUUUUACCAAAACAGAUUUGUUGAACUGUUUCACUAAAUAAAUUUAUUUAAAUAUUUCAUCAAAGAAAUUCAUUAAAAUAUUUUAUUGAAAUGAUUAUUAAUGAAAUUUAUUGAAACAUUUUAAUAAAUUUUAAAUGGAUCAACUUUUUCCAUUGUUUAGUUUUUAGUUUGUAGUGUAGAUUAAUAAUAGAUCCAAUUUAUUGGUAUAUCUCCAUAAUUAUUUACUUUUACACAUCAUUUAUCACUACUCACAUAAAAAAAAAUUACAAAUUUUGUGACAUGAUUAGACAAUUUGAUAGACAAAAAUAGGUGAUAUCCAGGAGAUGCAUAUCUAAAUAUUGUGUUGGUAAGUGAUAUAAUAUUAAGUUCUCGUGAUUUUAUGAAGUUUUGUUUAAUAAAAAAAUCAUUUUAUUAAAGUGAGCAUAUAUAACUCAAUUCAGUUAUUUACCAAAAAAAUUAAAAUCAAAAUAAUUUAGGGUUUCUUUUUUCUUUUUUUGUUUCUUUUUAUGGAAAGAUUGAAGAUCUUGGAAACCUAAAACAUAAUUUAAGAAAAUUGUUUAAUGAUAGCGAAAAUUAAGAAUAAAUUAAUAAAAACAAAUAAAUUGAAACAAAAACUCACAAACCGCUCUAUUUAUUUUUUUUUUUAAAUGAUAUAAUUAAAAAAAAUAUUAUCAAAAACUAAGAAAUAAAGAAAAAUAAUAAUAAUAACAAAUUGAAAACAAGGUACAAAUCCAUUGUUUUCUAAUUUUGACCGUUUCAACUUAUUUUCUAUUAUCAAUUCCUAAUUUCUCUUAUAAAAACCUUCUUUCCUAAUUCAAAAAAUAUUCCUCAUCUCAAAUCUUUAUAUUCUCAUGAUCAAUCCAUGGAUCUUCUUCAAAAGUUAACAAAAACUCAUGUAAUUUUCUUUUCUUUUCAAUGUUUCUUCCAUUUUUUUCUAUAGAAAUUUUCAUGUUGAUUAUUAAAAAUGAUUAGUGGGCUUUUUUUUCAACUUCCUCAAUAACACUUCUUUCCUUUUAUAUAUUGUUAAAAAAGGUAUCCAAUGAAAAGAUGAAAAAUUUAUUGCUUUUCAAGUUUUAACCUUAAAACAAUAUAUAUGGAAAAAAUUUAUAUUUAUAUAUUGUUAAAAAAGCUUGUUUUAUUUUAUAUUUAUAUAUGAAAAAAAAUAAUUUUUUGAAAAGUUUAUCAAAUAUAUUUAUUGAAAUAUUUUAAUUAAAUUUAUUAAAUUCAUUUAAUUAAAAAUAUCAAGUAAAUAUAUUAAAAUCUUUUAUUUCCCUAUUUUUAGUAAUCCCUCACGUCUCCACGAUGAAACCCUAUUCUCAUCUCCACGCUUCCACACAACACAGGCGAACGACCACUUCUUCGAAUCGACGGACGACUUCCACACAACACAGAGUGGCAAACGGCGAAUGGCUUCCACACGACGAACGCUUCCACCCGGCGAACAGCUUCCACCUGGCGAACAGCUUCAACCCGUUGCGAACAGCUUCAACCCGACGAACGGCUUCCACGCAGCGAACAACUUCCACAGUGAACGACUUCCACGACUGCGAACAUCUUCCGCACGGCGAACUGCUUCCGCACGCCGAACUGCUUCCGCGUUCAAAGGUUUCUAUGCUCCUCAUUCUUAUUGUAUUUAACAUUUUUCAAUGAAUAAUGCUCCCUUGAAUUUGAUUUAUAUCUUGUAAUUAAGGAUGAUAUUGUAAACCCAAAGUGAGAAAAACACAAAGAGAAGAAAAUUGAGAAUGACUCUCGUAUAUUUAUAUUUAUUUGUGUUAUAUGUUUAUGUUGUUUAUGUUCAAAUUCGUAAACAAAUGGUAUAAUCUAAUUGACAAAUAGAGAAGACCAUCAUUUUUCUUUAUUGUUGUUUUUUUUACAGGAAUGAGUAAUGAAAAAUUAAGGGUGACUCUUGGACGAUGUUUUAGACCGUAAUUAAUUUGUUGUCGUUAUGGUUAUAAUUAUCAUAUUGAUUUGUUUAUAGUAAUGAGUAAUGAAUUGGUAUAUUUACUCUUGGUAAGAUUCAUACUUUUGAAUGCCAUUUUUUUUUUAUAGUAAUGAGUAAUGAAUUGAUCUUGUGUGCAUCAUCAUAUCCCAAUUACACAUGCAUCUUGGAAGCUGGUGCCGACUGAGUUGAAAGAAAAAGUAUACAAUAUGAUUGAGGUAUGUAAUCAUCCUUCUCAUUUGGAAAUCAUGCAAACACUACACACUUAUUGUAUAUUUUGAGUCAUACUAUCUUGUGGUUAUCAUGUAGCCUUGGUAGCCCCAUAGCCUUGGUCUUGUGGCUAUCCUGUAGCCUUGGUAGCCCCAUAGCCUUGGUCUUGUGGCUAUCCUGUAGCCUUGGUAGCCCCGUAGCAUUGGUAGCCAAUCAUGUAUAUAUUACACAGUUAUUGUAUAUUUUAAGUUGUAUUAUGUGUGGCUAUCCUGCUAUGGUAGCCAAUCAUGCAUAUAUUGGUAAAUGUAAAUAUAUUUAUAAAAUAAUUUUUAUUUUAAUCUAGCACAUAAUAUAAUAUAUAUGCAUUGUUAAUUGGUUGUGUUAUAGUGUUCUUUACAAGUAGGUACGGUUGAAUGUGGAUAUUAUGUCAUGAGAUACAUGCAAGAAAUUGUGACUAAGGACACAAACAUUAUCACUGGUGCGGUAUGUUUUUAAACUAUUUACAUUGUAAAGUUAUAGAUAGUAUAUUAUGACUAACUCAAAUAUUUUACAAAGUGUAUUCUACUUUUUAUGUUUUAUAGAUUGAUACAAGAAGCCCAUACACACAGCUUGAAUUGGAUAGACGAGGGGAGUGGGCUGGAUUUUUAGCUCGGUACAUAUGAUAGACACACCUAGAUAUGAUCAUGUUAAUUUUGUAAAUGGCUAAGAUAUGGGAAUGCUCAUAACCUUUUUUGUGGAAACGUUUUGUUCAUAGCCAUUAUGAGGGCAAAAGAUAUAUGGGGAUAGGCUUCAAUUUUGAUUAUAUAAGACAACUAUUAUCAUUUAAUAUUUUGGAAUAGGACACAUAUAGGAAAUUUUAGUUGGCUAUAUUGGAUUGGAAUUGUGUAAUUGUUGAUGACAUUGUUGAGAAUAAUGAAAUUAUUGUUGGUUUACAUAUUAUACUAAACUUUUUGUCUUUUUUUUGUUGUGUAAUUGUUCGUUGGAGAAUUUGUUUUGUUUAUGGAUAUGUCUUAUUGAAGUAAAUGUAUGUAAUGCAGGAAAUAAAAAAUGAAAAAAGAAAAAUUUAGUAUAUUUAAUAUAUUAAUAAAUGGUAUACAUGACAUUAAAUACAUGUCACAUAUACUAUCUUAUUUGAGUCAAAUAUACCAUUUUACUUGAUGGAUAUAUAGUGUCAACUAUAAAAUUUUACUUGACAUAUACAUAAUGUCAAAUAUACUAUCUCACUUGACAGGUAAAUAGAGUCAAAUAUAUAUCUUACUCGACUUGUAAAUAGUGUCAAGUAUACUAUCUCACUUGACAGGUAAAUAGAGUCAAGUAUAUAAUUUACUCGACGUGUAAAUAUUGUCAAGUAUACUAUCUUACUUGACACAAAAAUGAUGUCAAGCAAUAGAGUACUUGACGUUUUUUUAGUGUCAAGUAAUAGAACUAUACUUGACAGUCGAUUACUUGACGCUUUUUAAAACGUCAAGUAUAGAUUUACAUGACACUGUAUUAAUGUCAAGUAAUUCAAUUUUUGUAGUAGUCUCUAGACGUGGUCGAUUAAGAAAUUGUUUGUAAUUUUCUAAUGAUAUAAUAUGGAUGAUGAAAAUGAUUGAGUGUUAAUUAAAAGUAAAUCAAAAUAAACCCCGGGAUAUAUAGGUGUUUGUUUUAUUGAAUACUAUCAUCAUUACCAUAUUUAGAUUUGUCUUCUGGCAUUUUGUUUCAAUUUAUUUCAAUUCCAAUAAAAGGGCCACAUUAGUAUUCAUACUAGAUCUAUGAGAUCUUUGUUCAUUGGAUUCAAACUUACAACAAGCAAAUCAUUUUUCCAAUAACAUCUUUAUUUAAUAAAUCCUCAAUAACAACUUUAUUGCAUUUACAAUAUUCAUGUUGGAAUUAUAUCAACUUUUACAAGUAUAGUAUUAUAGAGAUUUGAGGUUUGAUUUUUCAAGUACAAUUAUUGUACUAAAAAAAUUAAUGGAAUGUUAAACCAUUAAGCAAUCCCUAUUGUUCAUUUGACAAACUAAACUCUCUCUAAGUCAUUGUUGAAGAAGAGAAGCCUUUUGGUUCCUGUUUUUUUACAAGUAUUUUCAUACAUAUGAGGAAACAAUAAUCUCAUCCUAAUUUAGAAUUCAAUUUCAGUAAAAUACAAGAAAAAUUGACUAAGUCUAACCUAAAGUUGAUAGUAACUCUUUGAAAGGGUAAAUUUUCAAUAAUCAAUUUUAUUUUUCAAAACUAAUUAAUUUCAUUAAUACCAUUUACCUACUUGUUUUUCAGUGAGAACUAGGUGAAUUGAAGGUUGAUGAGUGAGCAAAAAGAAACACCGAUAGUGUAGAUCAAACGAACCAUUAUUUUUCUUUCUUUAAAGAGAUCAACAAAUGUUAGAACAAAGAUCAAAUUAUUGACUUUAAGAUACAAAAUCGUAAUAGUGUUUCAUUCACCGAAUUGUGUGUCUAGAUUAUUCAAAAAAAAUUUGUAACAUUUUAAAUAAAUACAAUCUUUUAAUUAGUCGCCUAACUUUUGUCCUAUUUGCAAUGUAAUAAGAGGAUUUUGGUACAACUUGACUCAUUACCAUAACAUAUUAUUUAAAAUAUUCUCAAAAUAAUUAAAGAUGUUGAUGUUGCUUACAAUGAUAUGAUCGCAUCUUCAACAUUUCCAUUACUUUACAUUUAAUUUUUGACUUAAUACAUGUGUCAUUAACUUUAGUUUGUUUUCAACUUUACUACUUUUUCCAAUCAAUUAUUUUAAAUUCUUCAAAACCUUUUCCCCUUUUAUUUAUAGGUAAUUAAAACAAUAAUAAAAUAAAAUUCCAUGAAAAAUAAAAUAUAGUAGUCUAAAGAAAGAGGAGGUCUUCUACUAAAACUCGAUUAAGAUAUAAAUAUAAUCACUUAAAGAUGUUGGGCUUAGGCCUAUACAUUUGGGGUCGUCCUAAUCCAAUGAUAAAAGUAACUUCAAGUGAUCAUAGAUUUUUGAAUUACAUAAUCUUUAUAAGGUAAGUUAGUAGUUAUUGAUUAGAAAAUAUUUAGAUUUGAGAAUAAAGAAGAAGAAGAAAAUGAAGCCUAAAAAAAUGUGAGAUGGGAUGAUUUUAGUACAUUAGAGUCAAUCAAAGUUGUGAGUACAGAAUUUAAUGCAAGUCAUGGUCUUAAAGAAAGACAAGGCAAUUCUUUUUCCCUAUAGUUUUUGCUUUGUAAGGCAAAGCCUAAACAAUGUUGGACCUAUCAAAAAGGUCUCUUCCAACUAUUUUUCCAACCAUCUCAUGACAACUAAAGUUGACAACUUUAUUUUCUCUUCUCAUCAAUAUUAUUUUUCCCUUUAUUUCAAUUUAAUAAAUAAAUAAAUAAAACCACCAAACUGUCAAAACCAAUGUAUAAUGCGAUUAUAACAAAUAUAACAAGUAAUUAAUGCUAUCAAACAACUAUCACACACCAUAUUUUACUAAAUAUUUUGAAGAGGUUUAUAAUAAAAAGAGUUAAUUUAUGUUAAGAAAAGAAAAUACUUUACUUUAUAAUUUGAUGGAAAAGGCUGAUUCUAAACAUUCUUGUCCAUGGAGAUCAAAGUUUUUGAGAAAUGGAUUUAUGUUUAUGUAUCUAUCAAGUUAUGAUGAAUGUAUUGAUUAAAAAUGGUUAGAAAGAAAUAUAUAUAUAUAUAUAUAUAUAUGUAUAUGGUCAAAACGAAUAUUAAGAGAAAAAGUGUAAGUUUGUUUUAGGGAAUUUUGUUAAAGAUGAUCUUUUAAAUGGAAUAAUGAUUAUGAAAUAAGCGGCAAAGAAGUUUCAAAUUUUAAUAUUAUAUAUAAAAUUAUAAAAGAAAAAUAAAAGUUCCAAAUUUUAGUUGUCUUUUUUUAUGUAUAAAUUUAUUUUUUCUUUUUAAUCUUUCGAAUAAAAUUAAAGUUACAGAAUUAGUUAUACCAAAGUUUAAAAUUUUAGUUCUCCUUUUGUAAUUUUCUCUCUUUUUUUAAAUUUUAUUUUAACUUUCUUGUGUAUAAAUAUAUUUUUUUUCAAGUAAUUUCUUUUAGGAAUGGAUUCAAACUCAAAUUUGCAGCAGAGAAUAUACACUUUUUUAUUUUAUUGAUCAGCUGGCUAUUUGAAAAAGAAUAGUUUUCCUUUUUCCCGUUGAAUAAUAUACGUAAUCAAAUUUUUGAAUAUUUUAACAUCUUAUCGAGAAUAUAUACACAUUACUUAUUUGUGUCAACGAAGUAUAUUGAUAUUUAAAGAAAAAUACACAUUAGACAAUAACUUUCAAUAUAGAAGUGAAAUACUAACAUUUGUAAUACAAAUCAAUUAGCAAUGAUAUUUUUCUAUAUAUAGAGUUUUAUUUAUCCAUUUAUAGAUGUGUUUAUGAUUAAUGAUUCUCUCUUUUACAAACAUAGGUAAUUUAACCUUUUGCUUAACUCAAAGUGUACUACUGCACAUUUAAUAAACAUAUCAUGUUAGAGAUGAUCAUGUCUAUAAUAGCCCUAAUAUUAUGGUCAUUUCUAUCGCGUUAAACAAAAGUUCGACUGUGUUUUCCUCAUUUUUUCUCACAUUUUGUCGCGUAUUUUUGGGUGAGAACAUUAAAGUUGGGAUCACAAUAGUGAUAAUGGUCAUCACAUCAAGCCUACACAUGUUCAUCCCUAACGCGAGACAUUAUAAAAUGCUUACAUGCAUUCCCUUACUCUUGUCAAAGUUGGUUGUGGAAUUUCUCUUUUAUCACGAUAGGGUUACGAUAGAUAAUCAUUUCUAAUAUGAUACCGUAUAAAAAUAUAUAUGGUAAUCAUGAGCACUUAAUGAAAGAAAAAUGUUUGAUUUCAUACGUUUGUGGUGUAGUGAGGGAAAAAAAACUCCUAAUUCAAAUGAUUUGAAUAUAUAAACAAUAUGAUUUGAUUGAUUGGUAUACCGAUUAAAAUCAACCAUAAAUUGAAAAUUUUUAUUCUUUGUUCAUAAUGAAUGGGAAUUAGAAAUACUUUUAAGUACUGAAGUUAUAUGUUCGGGUUAGUAGGAGUCGUGGUCUCGAGGCUAAAAUGCAACCCUAGUUUGUUCAAAAUGGGAUGGGCAGGGGUACCAAAUGGAUGAAGAAGACAGGUAGGAGACAAAGACAACCCUAAAUUAAUAUUUUGUAUAGUAACUUUUGUUUUGUUUUUCUUCCUUUAAACAAAGCUUAGGAUCCUCCCUUUGCUUCUUUUAAUACAAAAACUUUUUAACCACCACCACUAACACUACACCUCACACCCUCUCUCUUCUUUUCCACCCAAAAUAAAUUUAAUAAUAAUGAUAAUGAUAAUAAAAUAAAAAAGAAACUUCAAAUUUCUUUUUUUCUCCUUAAGUUUUCAAUCAACUAAUGAAUACACAUUUGAUUGUUGACAAGUCAUAGUACAUUUACUUUUGAAUUACCACAAUAAUAUAGAAAAUAAAUCAUUGUUUCUCUAACCCUAAUUUGAUGUGGUUUGUGAUAUCAGUGGAUAGAUAUGUUCCUCAAACAAAAAGUACUUUUUCAAAUCUGUAUUUACUAAAUAAAUUAAACUUGUGAAUCCAAUUUUUAGGUUAUGUAGUUAUCAUGAAUUAAAAAUAAAAUAAAAUGUUCUACAGUUUUAUUAUUUUAAAAUAAUUUUCAUACGUACAAUUAACUUUCGAAAUGAAUAAAUGUAUAAGUUAGAUUGAAGUGGUACUAAUUCAUGGGGUUUCUAUAACUAACUAUUUUCAUUAUUGGUAUAGUUUAAACAUAGUAUAUACAUUUUUAAGUUUUUGAAAUUUUCAUGUACUUGAAUAUAAGUUAAUUUGAACUUUUAUCCACUUUUUAUGUUGAUUUUUUUUUUUAUGUUUAAAAUCUCAAUCGUUAUCCUCUCAUCAAACAACUUUCUUUAAAGUUGCAUAUUUAAUCUUUCAUUUGAAUAUUCAAACUCUUUCAAAUACUUAAAAGAUGGAAUGAAAGAUGAUAAAAUUUGUUCACAAAUUAAUAAUAACAACAAAAAGAAAACUAUACAUCUAAAACUUACAUUGAAUUAUAAAAUAUUAGAGUUGUUAGGGUAUUAUCUUUCUGAGAUCUAAAAAGGGUUUUGGAGGAAAAACAAAAACAAAGUUUGACUCAAAGAGAUAAAAACAAACAAGUGCUUAACUUAAUAAAAACACAACAAAUAAAAGCCAAAAUGGCCCAACAAAGUCAGACCCUUAAAUCACAAAACUUUGAUUAAGAAAUUAAAAAUGUUAAAAAUAUAUAUAUAUAUAUAUCAUUUUGGAACCCUUGCUCUCGGUUUAACUUUGUUAUCGUGAACGUAGUCAAGACGUUAUUGUUAGUGAACUCCAAAAUCUUAUUGUAUUUUGUAUUUGUAAAUUCGUAAGACAUACAACACAAAAUACAAUAUGAAUAAUUUUUCACAUUUUAUAACAUAAUGUUAUUAAUUAGAAACCUUUUUCUAAAAAAAAAAAACUAUUAUGUAUCGACUAAUACCAUGAGCAUAAUUUAAACUAACAUUAAAUAUGAUUAUAAACUAUUAAACAUUAAAUUGUCAUCUUCCAUAAAAAUUUGGUUAGCCAUAACUUGAAAGGAUGAACUUGAGAGUUAAAAUAAAGUAGCUAGUUUGGCAAUAUCAACCAUAACAUAUAUAAAACUGUUAAUGACAUUAUUAUUGUUUCCAAUAUUUUGAUAGUAAUGAAUUUUUGAGAGAAGGGAUUAGGGAAAUAAAAGAAAAGCUUUAAAAGAGUUAAUUAACCUAGGAUUCUAUGGAACAUUAAUAAGACCCCAUAUGUUAUGAAAAUAUAAUGGUUUAAUAAAAGGGAGAUAUAAAAAAGAAAUGUACUUUAUUUCAAUCACCAAAGCAAAAGUUGAUUGCUUUGGCCAUUGAUGACAUAAGGUUUCAUUGUUGGAAUUGGAAAAGGAAUCUCUUUCCUCCACUUUAAAUUAAUUAAUUAAAACAUACACACAACUCCAAUCCAUAUGCAUAUUUAAUUAAUUGAUAUUAUCAAAAGAAGAAGAAGAAAAACUCAGUACUCAAAACCCUAAUUAGUAAUUAAAGAACAAUUUAAACCCAUCAUGUCUCAUAUUUUUUCCCUCAUUCCAAUGUUAAUGUUUGUUUUUUCUUUCUUUUUUUUUUCCCUUUUUUUUUGCCUCUCAAUAGUACAAGAGACAAUUAAUAAUAUAUAUUGCUAAAUCAAAUUGAAAAGCCAAGUGAAAUUGUUUUUAACAAAAGUUGUUUCACACGGAUUAACUUGGAUUGUGUUUUUUAUUUAAUUUUUAAAUUUAAAUGAAUUAAUAUAUAUAUAUAUAUAUAUAAUGCAAUUAAUUAAAGGGGUUUUUCUAUUAAUUGUAAGUAUAUAGGUAAUUAAAAUUUUAGGAUAUUUAUAUUUUUUAAAUAUAGUAAAAUGGGCUAACUUAUUUAUACAUGAUAACAAAACUUUGUUGAACAUCAAAAAUAAAAAGUAAUUAAUUAUAGUUAUCAAUUGUAAAUAUUUUUAAUAAUUUUGAGGUUGUGGUGAAAUAAGUAAAUAAGUUAAAUAGGAGUAUAAUUUUACUUGAAACUUAGAUAAAAAAAAAAGGGUACAUAAAUUCAAAAGUGUAGUCGUUUAUAUGAGGGCCCAUUUGUGAAGAGAAAAUGUGUGUAAGUAAGAGAUUGAUGAGAGGAAAAAUGUGGAUAGACAAAAGGUUGGUAAGAAAAAUAUUGCAGUGUAGAAGAAACUUAGUGAAAAGAAAGUAAGUUUGUCAUCUGUCCUUCUUUGACUACUAUAUUUUCUUAUUCCUCCCUCUAAUUUAAACCUUUUUCAGUUUAGUCCUUUUUACUUCAAUAAUUUAUACAAAUAGACUUUAAUAUUUUUAUUCAUUUUUUCAUAUUUCAAAUUAAAAUAGUUUCUAUAUGAGUAUAAUGAAUAAUUAUAUUGAAACUAAACUCAACCUAUAGAAAAGUAAUUCCAAUUAUAUUGCAACAAUUAGUACAUAAAUGAUAAUUAGUCAACUUGAGUAUAAUAUUAUAGUUUUUUUUAUAAAAAAAGUUAGAGAUUCAAAUUCCAUCCUAAUUGUCAAAUAUUUAUUCAUUCUUAUUAUUAUUAUUUUCCCAUAGUAAAAGUUUGAUGUUUGAGUUGGUAAAUAAUUUUUUAUUAAAAAGAAAAAUUAAUUAUAUUUUCUUUCAAUUUCAUAUAAUGUUUUAUUUAUAUCUUUUAUACUAAGUCGUUAAACUUUUAGUCAAAUCUAAAAAACAAAAUAAUAUUUUAAAGAGAAAAUGUCAAUGAAUAGCCAAAAAAAAAAUUGAAACUAUUUACAAAUUAUAACAAAGAAAAAUCAAAUGAGCUAGAGAGAAUUUAAUGAUUUUAUUAUAGUUUGUAAAUAGUUUUAAUUUCUUUGCUAUAUUUAAAAAUACCGUUUUUCAAAAACAUUUUUUUUGUGUUAAAAAUUAAUUGACUUUUUUUUUUUAAAACGUUCUUAUAAAUACAUGCAGAGCAAAUAAUCUAUAAGUGGAAGGAUGAUUAUAGGCUUAAUUUUUAAAGCCUAAAAACAAAAACCUAAAUAGUUAUCAAAUAAAAGUUUAGGUAUUACUUUUUAGUUUUUGAAAAUUAAACUAUACACUAAUGAUUCAAGUGCAUUGAUUUUUUUUCCAUAUGUUAUCUACUUUUUAAGUAUGUUAAAAUUUCAUAAAGGAAUUCUUUUCCAUAAAUAGAGUUAUCACACAACAAGUCUGAGUAAAUAUAGGAACAAUAAUAAAAAUAACAAAAAAGAAAAAUAAUAAUAACACACAAGGAGUUGGCAACCUAAUUCGGUGAUAUAACACCUACAUCUGGAUUAGCGUGCCUAGGACACAUAACCCACUAAUAUAAUUGAGUCAAACGAUUACAACAUUGUACUUAUCUGUAUACUCUCAAGAUUACAGUAAUAACCAUAGAGCUAACUCAGUGAACAUCUAGGCUCUCCUAGAUGCAAGACUCGCUCACUUUAAAAUUUAAGCUCCCCUAAGUAUGUCACUAUUAGUAGUGAAGAACUUUAAUUAGGCUCUUCCUAAUAGUGUGUUAGACUCCUCACUUGAGGUUAUAUUUCCUUCUCUCUUUAGGAUUUUUCUUCACUCGAGUAACUUAGAAUCCCUCCAAGUGUAUGAAAACUUCCUUCUAAAGAACAAAUCUUUAAGCUCCCCCUAAAGUAGUGUAAUAUAUUUGGAUUGAAUGUAGUCUUCAACAAACUACUCACCGAUCUAAUUUGCUUCAAAUUAAACAUAAAGUUGCGUCGAAUUCACAAUAGAGAACAAGUGAUAUAACAUAUGCGAUAACCCUACCGGUGAAUGCUUCAUGAGCUGAAAUAGCACAACAAAGAAAGAAAAAAAAAAUCUACAAAUCAAAUCGUUAGAGCUCUGGAAAAGAAAAGCAUCCAAGCAUAGAAGGAAAUAUUUUGUAGAAUCUGCAACCUUUGAGACAACUACUGCAACGAGAACAUUCUGAAACAUAUUCUAAGACAACCACGAAAAAACUCAUUAGAAGGCUAGGAAAUUUAAACAAAUAUAUAUACUUACACGAAAUCCACGCCAAGUUUUGAAAACAAAAAAUAUUAAAUUUUAGAAUCUUGUUGAUCUUUUUAGAAUUUAGUUAAGAAUUUCAUCGUAUUGUUUCUACUUAAGAAGCAUGAAAACCAUGAUAAAGAAAAUGUAAGAAAACAAUCGUAAUUUUCAUAAAGCAAGUGUUUGGGAUUUUACGUUGGUUAUCAUAAUCAAUAGGUUAUAAUAGUGUGUUUUCAAGAUGUAGACAAUUUUAUUUAGAUUAUAAUAAUAUGUAUGGUAACAUGUAGACUAUUUUAGUAUGAAUAAGAAACGGUAAACAUAUAUAAAAAUAAAAAGAGGAUAUAAGUAGAAGAGUAAACACACUAACAAAAAAGAGAGAGAUAUGAAAUAGCAUUACUGCAGUUAACUGAAGGUUUUACCAGUAACAUAUACCAACUAUUAUAAUUGAAAGUUGAAGUAGAAGAAAUAGUAUAAUAUAGUUGAGUUUAGUGGUUGGAAGUUGGUGGGUAUUAAAUGAGAAAGGGAAUAAAUGGAAUCUCUUUUGUUGAUGGUAAAAAAGAAAGAGAGAAAAAGUGAGAGAUGAAAAAUGAUGAUGAGAGAAAGAAGAAAAAUGGUAGGAGAGAGGAUAAGUGUAAAAUUGAGAAAAGAAUGAUUGAGAAGCCGCACGAGUCGUUUCAUAGGAUUCUCUUAUGGGGUUAUUUGUCUUCUCAUCACAAACACACAUCACAUUCAUUAAUCAACCAAACUCCAAAACCCUAACUCCAAACAAUAUAUAUAUAUAUAUAUAUAUAUAUAUAUAUAUAUAUAUAUAUGUGUGUGUGUGUAUAUAUGUAUUAUUUGUUUUCAAAAUAUAAAAAAGCAAACUCAUACACACUACUUCUCUGCUCUUCUUGUCCCCCUUUUCCUUCUUUUUCAACCCUAAUCCAUGUCUUUUUCCACACACACACUUCAUUUUUAAAUCACAACCCAUAAACAUCUUUUCUUCCGUUGUUCACUAUUAUUAGAAACCGUGUUUCUUCCAUAAUCGGUUACUUUGGAUCUCUUAAGCUGAAAAGUAGUAUAAAUUUUAAAGUUCAUAAAUCUUUUAAACAAGAUGAUUGAAAGUUCUUGUUAUAUUUGGAGAACAUAUCACUCCAAAGCAUGUAUACAUAUAUGAGAGAAAAAACAAAAAUGUGUGGGAAGAACAAUAAUAAUAAGGAUUUAAAAUGAAAUGAAAAUCUCUCACCCAAGAAGAAAGCAUUUCCAAAAGUAGUGUGUGUAAGAAAAACCUUUUGUGGAAGUCUUUUAUAUUCUGCAUGGCAGGUUCUUGAAGCAUCAAAUAUAACAGUUUCUUUUCUCUUUUCUCAAUCUUGAUCAGUGUGAAAGAUACAUCUUUUAAUCUCAAGGACUACACAAAGUAAAUGGUCCAAAUCUUUUGCAUAUUUGGCCUUCAUUUAUUUAUUUUUUUUAAAUCAAAUAUAUACCAAAGUAUUAAGAAGAGAAUCCAUAUUAAGAAUAAAUAAAUACUAAAACUUUUUCACACUAUCUUAUUCAGGAGAGACAACUAUUGAUCUUAUGGUAUAUUCACAAUGGUAUUCUCUACUUUGGUAGUAAGUUACCAGUUUUGUUUAAUUUUGAUUUUGCAUGGUCAUUUUGUAAUUAACUCAACCGUAGAAUACAUUCGAAACUUUUCAAGAAUUCUAUUGACAUGACUAAGUUGAAGCAUACCCUAAUACUAAUUUGUUAAGGACAAUAAUCUCUCUCUGGACUCCAAUUAUCUCAACAAUGAUAUGAUCAUAUAGUUCAUUUUGUAGACAAACGUCCUUAUAGCUUUAUAUUUUGUUUCACUCAAAAGACCGCAUACCAUCAACGAUAUAUUUAUCGCACCUUAUAUACUCACGAUCAUCCUUUCAUCUAGCUAAAUAUGGAACUUUACUCACAUAUUAUCUUUAACUUUACUAAUAGUUUGAUCCUUAUACUUAUUUUUUUUUUCUAAUAAAUAAGUCCUUUUCUCGUUUUUGAAUAUUUUUUUCUAAAAGAAAUUAUAGUAUUAAAAAUCUUAUUAUAAUUACUCUCACUCACAUAAUCAAACUAUGUAAUUGAUAGGAAGUCAAUUAACUUUUGUAGAGCUAAAUUGUUAGAAAUAGAAGUAGACAUACAAUCGAAACAAAGUGACAUACAAUAAUAAUGAUGAGUGAAAUACAAGAACAUUGAAUAGGUAAUUAGAAGGUUGAAAAGAGAAUGUGUGAGAGAGAUUUUUACACAAAAUAUUGUUAAAAAGCCUUGUCUUGGGCCCUUAACUUUUCUCAUCUUGACUAAUUAUUCAAAAGCUGAUAUCACAAAACAGCACAAACCCAAAACCACACACACUUAUACAUUGCCACACUCAUUAAUAAAAGUCAGAAAUAUUACAUUAAAUCAUCAAAAUAAAAAAGAAAACACUAAUUAAAAACCUUCAUAGCUAAUUAAUUAGCCAUAGCCAUUCCCCAUAGCCAUAGCUAUACAAAUUACAUAUACAAAACCAGCCCUUUGGUAAAACUAAAAGCUGAAUUUUUCUGGUCAUUAAUAUAAAAUAAAAAAAAACUCAAACUCCUCCUCUGUUUCUAAACUCUUAUACUCUCUUAUCAACAACAUUUUCUCUCAUUUUUUGAGAGAAAUGAAACCCAGAAGCUAAUUUGAGUACUAAAAAAAAGAAAAGGAAAAAGAAAUUAGCUAUUGGUAAAUAUAAAAUGUCAUUGUGAAGAGAAGAAGAAGAAAAGCUCUAUAUCUGGUGAAGCAAAGAAAGCAAUAGGAGAAGGUCUUUGUAAAGAACAAUUUGAAUUUGAAUUUGAAAAAAGCCUUCGCUUUUUAGGAGCGGGUGGACAUAUUUUGAUUUCUGGGAUUUUGAAUCUCUCUGCUUUUGGAGUACUACAACACUCUUCUUCUUCUUCUUCUUCUUCAAAAUCACAGCUUCUUCUUGAAACUGAUUUUUCUUCAAAAUUAAUGGUUGUUGAAGAACUUGUACCUUUUUCAAUUUCUUCUUCUUCUAGCUUGAUGUUGUUGUUCUUGAUGUUCUUCUUGAUCUUCUUGUUCUUCAACUGGGUCGUUGUUGUUUUUCUUGCUCUUCUUCUUGCUUCUCCUCUUUUGGAAGCCAUGGAACUCAAAUGUGGAAGGCUUUGAAUUUCUUUGAAAAAUGGUUUCUUUUUUGUGAGAUUUUGUUAGUAUUGGAAGGAAAUAGAGUAACCCAUUUGAGAGUUUUUUUAGAAGAAGAAGAAGAGAGGGGUUAAUAUGUAAGAGGGUUUUGUUAUAUAGUGAAAGGGAGGGAAAACAAAGGCACAUGUUUGCUUUAUGUCAUAUUUUGAAAUGUGUUAUCAUUGUUUUUGAAUUCUCCUUUUUCAAUUAGAGGAUACUAAUGCUCUUUCUUUUUUUUCUCUCUCUCUCCAUAGAAAACCAUAUUGUGGGUAAAAAUUGGCUUUUAGGGUAAGAAUAUAUCUUAGCUUACAUAUAUACAUACAUAUAUAUAUAUAUAUAUAUUAUUGAUGAACUUUUUGAAUAUCAGUAUUUUGUAUUUGUAAUUUGUGAUGUAAUCCAUACAUAUGUUUCCAUACGAAGAAUCAAACCAUUAAACUUUAGAGUGACAAUUAGAGAUCUAUUAUCUAAUAUUUGGUUAAAAAAAUGAGUAGAAUAAAUUAAUAUAUAUCUUCUAAGUUAUUUUAAAAAAUAGUCAAUUAUUAAACUAUUUACAAAAUAUAACAAAAUUCAUCAAACUCUCUCAUUACAAAUUUUUACUAUAUCUGGUAAAUUGUAUCAUUUUUUUUUUCUUUUUUGUUAUUUAUAACAAUUCCUCUUAUUUGCUUUUUUAUAAAUAUUUUUUUUUCACUGUGAUUGAUAGAUUGUUAGAAAACGAGUGCAAUUUAGAUAAGUUCUAUUUGGCAUAUGAUUUAUAUUUCUAGGUUGAGAGCACUCUCCUCAUUCUAAUGGUAAGGGGUAAUUAUUUGGUUUUUUUAGUUUUUAAAAGUUAAGUCAUUUUAUUUCUAACUUUUACUAAUAUUCUCAAGAUGUAAGCCAACUUUUGAAAAAUAAAAAGAAGUAGUUUGUUUUUGCAAUUUAGCUACGCAUUCAAACCUUUGUACUUAAGAAUGAUAUAAAUGUUCACAAGAAAUCGAGGGAAAAUAGAUUUCAUUUCUAAAAAAGAAAACCCAAAAUAUUAAAAACUAAAAUCUGACUUAGUAACCGUUCGUUUUUUGUAUUUGGUUUUCAAAAUUGAGUAUCUUUAUAUCUCCUACUUCAACAUUUUUUGUACUGAUGUUUUAAAAGCUCGUCAAAAUAUGAAAUCUAGAAAAACAAAUUAUUUUAAAAUACGUGUUUUUUCUUUCUUUCUAAAUUUAGUUAAGAAAGAACUUAUACAAAUUAUAGUAAAAAUAAUGGAAGAAAGUAUGUUUAAUUUUUUUUUAAAAAAAAAUAGUUAUCAAAUUUCACUGAAUAAUUAUCAAACAAAACAAAAAAAAAUAACGUAGCAAAUGAAAUAUAACACAAGGUAAUAGAAAAAUAUAAUUCUCUAAGCUUUAAAACCUGAAGAAAAAAAAGUAGGUGUGAAUAAAGAGAGUUACAACACAAGUUAAUUAUUAAUUUACUAUAAUCUAUGCCAAUCAAAAUCUAAGAAAAUGAAUGAUUGCUACAUAAAGUAGUGAAAGUGAAUGUGAAUUGGUUGAUAUUACGAAGUCAAUGGCUGAUUAGUAUAGAUUUUUCUUUAAAAAAAAGGAAUUAUUGUUUAUUAAUUAAAUUACUAUAUUGAAAUAAUAAAUUACAAUUUUUUAUAUUUUAAAAAGUUUAUUAUAAAAGUAAAGGUAUCCAAUGAAAAAUUAAGUAAAUGUUUAUUUGAUAAGGCACUAUGGACGGUUUGGCAGGUAGCAUUAUCCCUAAACAGUAAACACACACCUAAAGCAUAAUGUGAUUCUUAAUAUAAUUAAUGCUCAACAUUAAUCCAAUUAAUUUAGAAAAGAAAAAAGAAAAACAAUUUGCUUAUAAAAUUAAAUAUCUCACUAAACCCUCCAUUAUUCUAACCUCAUUAUUUUAUCUCAAAACAACCUCAAACUUUUUUUUUUUUUGUAGAUUCGUUUGCAUUUACUAUUUUAAUUUUCGUAGUUUCAAUACAUUUCAAAUUUAUAAUGUAUUUGGAUUACAUUUUCAAGUGUUUAAUUUAAAAAACAAGUUAUUUUGAAAACCACUCAAAAUAGAUUUUUGAGUGAAUUCUAAACCAUUUUUAGAAAGAAAAAAAGUUUAAACAAAAAUGAGUUUCUUGACAACCAUUUUUUCUUAAUUCAAUCCAAACGAACCCUUAGUCUAUACAACUAGUUUGUUGUUGAAUUUUGCAAAACCUUUUUUUAGUAUAUUAUUGGUAUGCUCACUAAGAGACUCUGUGUGGUGCUGGGUAACGUAGAGUUGUUUUGUUUAAGUUCAUGUAUUUGAAUUCUCCAAUAUUUACAAUUUUUUGAAUUUUAGAUAAUAUAUUUUUAUACCUAUUUUUGUUUUUGAGAUUUUUUAUUCAAUAAUUCUACCUAUCUUUCGUUAAAUAAAAUAUGAAUUUUUUUUUUUUUUUGUAAUAAACAACAAUUAAUCAACUACAUUUCUUGCACUAAAUAAAAUGUAAAACAAAAGAAAAUUGAAGAAAUUUUAUUCCUAAUUUUUUUCAUGAAUUUCAUCUUUUAUUUCUUUUUUCUUUUUAAUUAUUAUUUCUAUUGUUGCUUUGUAUUUUCUCUCUGUCAUUAUUUAUUCUAAUUGAAUCUCCCCUAUCAUUUUAAUUCGUAUGAAAUGGUAGUUAAUUAUUUGCUUGUUUUUACUUUGUUUUAGGUUUGUUUUUUGUUCCACCAUUUAACAACAUGCAUAUUUUUUUCAAAUCCUUAACACGUGAAUGCAAUAAAAUAAAAGGAUAAUAGUUUGUGUGUAAGUAUAUAUGGUCAACAAAAAACCAAUUUCAUUCAUACAAAAAAAAAAUUAUUUUUGAAAAUAGUUAAGUUGGUUAGUCAUACGUAGUAAGUCAAACAAUCCAUCUUUAUUGAUUGUGGUGAUUAUUGUUAAGAAAGCCAUCGAUCUUUUAGAUGUUUGUGGCAAAUAAGUCUAUAAGACAAUCCUUAGACAACUUUUCAAUAUCACAUUACUAUAAAAGACGAUUAUUAAACAUUACAAAUUAAUCAUUUCAAUUUUGUAUUUAAAUGCACUUUUGUUAGCCAAGUUCCUUUUCAUUUUUCUUUUUAUAGUAUAUUAUUGAUUGAGUUGGUCAUUGAAAAUAAACAACAAAGUUGGUGGUUGGAGUUAGUUGUUCAAGAUCAUUUUCAAAGUUGGGCGUUAGAUGUGAUCGUUGUUGAAGUUGAUUGAUAGAGAUGGUCUUUAUCGUUCUUGGUUGCCUAAGGUAAAUGUUAGUAAUUGAUUGUUAGAGGUGGUUGUCACUUGUCAUUGAAAUUGAUUAUCAAAGGUGAUUUUCGUUGAAGUUUAUUGUGGAGGUAGUUGUUGGAGCCGAAAGUUGAAGGUUGUUGUUGAAUUAAUUAUCAAAGGUGAUUUUCACCCAAGUUUGUUGUUGUAGAUGGUUGUCAGAGGCAUAAGUUGGUUGCAUGAAAAUGAUCUUGGAGUUGGUCACAAGAGUUUGUUGCUAGAGCCUGAAAUUCUCGUAUCGCAAAGGUGGUCGUCGAAGUUGAUUUUCAUUGGAGUUUGUUAUUGGAGAUGGUUACUAGAUCCUAAAAUUGGUCGUUGGAGUUGGCCACGAAAAAGUGGUUGUCGAAGGUGAUCGCUCGAGUUUGUUGUCGGAAGUGGUCGCUGGAGUUUGUCAUCAAAGGUGGUUGUUGGAGCUAGAAAUCGAUCAUCAAAGUUGGACGUGUGAAAUUUUUCGUCAAAUUUGGUUGUCGAAGUAUGAAAUGCUUCUUAGAUCCUUUAGGUUGCCAACCUAUCCAAUCCAAAAAAUUGGGUUGGUCCCAAAAUACCCCUGAACCCAACCCAACCCAACCCAACCCAACCCAUUUAACACCCCAGUACUAAUCCCCUUUAGCAGCAAGCCAUGACUAAAGAACUCCAAACUUUAAAGAAGACUCAUACUUGAAAUUAUGUUGUCCUACCUCCUGAAACAAAACCUAUCAUGUAAGUGGAUCUAUAAAAUCAAGACUCACUCAAAUGUGACUAUUGAAUAUGGUAUAAAGUCCACCUAGUGGCCAAAGGGUAUUCUCAGUAGUAUGAUAUUGAUUAUGAGGAAAUGUUUAUUUAUGUUGCUCGCAUGACAUCUAUUUAAAGUCUUUUGACAGUAUUUGCCACCAAACAGUGGCCUCUUCUUCAAAUGGAUUUGACAAAAACUUUUCUCCAUGGUAUUUUAUCUAAAGAUGUAUAUAUGAAACUACCACCAGACACAUCUCCUCCAUCUCAGAUAAUUUGUCUUCUUCGUCGUGCCUUAUAUAGGAUAAAAUAAGCCCCACGUGCCUGGUUUGCUACUUUUAGUUCUACUGUUACUCAACUUGGGUUUACUUACAUCGUUCAUAACUCAGCUCUCUUCGCUCAUAUGACUCCUCAUGCCAUUUUUUUCCUUUAGUGACUUUGCUCAUGUCAUUGCUACAAAGGUUAUAUAUGAUCUACAAUGUUACUUGAGCACGCAUUUUGAAAUAAAAGACUUGGGACCUCUAAAUUAUUUUUUUGGUCUUCAAAUUCACGUCCUGCUGAGACGGAUGCAACUUGUCCUAAACCAUGUAUCUAGGAAUGAAAUUCCUAUAGCAGAAACAUAUGAACGUCGUGCAAAUGGAAGUCAAUUUGAAAAACACAAAAUAUUCAUAAAACAAAAAAUAAAAAACAACACGCUUCUAAGGAGGAAAGAAAAAAAAAAUUAACCUUUAUAGAAUCUCUCAAGGACACCUUCUUAUAGAAUCUAUCAAGAACACUACGAAAUCUUCUUUAUUAUUCUCAAGGUGUAAAUGACAUAAAAAAAUUGUGGGCUUAUAUUAUAUUGAUUUUGUGAAUGAAAAAAGUUUUGAGACAUUUUGCAAAAGAGAGAUCGUGAAACACUAGAGGAGAGAAGUUUAAGAUUAAUUGAGAAUCUUCACCAUUUUAAGAGAGAUGGAAUUAAAUAUAUAUUAAUUAAAAUAAAAUAAAAUAAAAUCAAUUUAAAUUUAAAUCAACAUUAUAUUAUAUCAUAUAUAAUAUAGCCAAAUGACUUAGUUCUCGAGUAUGACUUAUAAUUCGAAUAUGAAUCGAAUCCAUAUUAAUUUGAUUGUAAAUAAAUAUAUAAACAAAUAACAACCAAUUAAUGACCAUUUUUUUGCAUCAAUUUUAUGGUUGAUUAUAUUUUCUCUCGAAACCAACACCAAGAGAUGGAUUUACACCCGUAGUAGUAGUAGCAAUAGUAGUUGUAAGAGCAAACAAACUACUUGGUUUGAAGAAAUUAAUGCACGACCGCAUGAAGAGAGUGUGAAGGUGUUUGCAAAUAACCAAGUUACUUUAACUAUUUGCGUUCAUAUCCAUUUUUUCAUGGAGGUAUCGGACGUUGAGAUAAAAAUAUGGAAAAUUACCUUUUUUUUAGAGUUAACUCAAGGUGCAAUUCUAUGUACUAUGUAGCAUGUAUGCCCCAACCCCAACUAACAACAAUAGUGUUAAACAAAUUCAAAAGCAACAUCAUUAACAUAACUAAAAGUACUCAACAUACAAAUUAUCAACAAGCAAGCAUUUUAACUUCCCAAAAAAGGUGAACUAUUAGGCAAUUUUAAGUAACUUUUUUUAGCAUAAAUUGGUUUGAAUAAUUCAAACAGCAGACCAAUGCACUAAGACAUAUUAAUUGAACUAAGGUUUGGUUAGCAUUCAUAUGCAAAUUUGUCAUUGUUUACCUUUAGUGAAUCCACUAUCCACACAUAGUAAAGCAUAUUGAGUCUAUUGACCAUGAGGGGAGUUUGAAUUCCAACCUUGAAUGGUUAGAAAACCCACCAAAUUCAAGAAACCGUCCAGAUGAAUUCAAGUACGAAAUCCAAAAUAUCUAAAUUUGAAGCUUUAUUUGGAGAAAAAAUGGAAAAGAUUUUCAAUAGCUUUUUUGAGCUGGUGAAUUUUGGACCUCACCGAAUUCUCUGGUUAAGAUUCAUCCAACUUCAAAUCUCCCACAGCUCCCCACUUUCCUCCUUUCCCUCACACAAUUCCCAAACAUAAUAAUCUAAGAGCUCUAAUUCGGAGCUAUCUCACAUACCCAUUUCAAAUCUCUGGCGGAAAAUCAUUGAAGGGGUUUCGUUUUUGUUUCUCAAAUCGACUCACAGACGAGGGUGGUCGAUUUUGAUUAGCGUAUUUCCUCUGGUUUCAUCUUUCUGUAAGGAUGGUGGGAGCUUUAUCUAUGGUGGGUUCUUCAGUAGUGGAUUCUCAUAGCUCCCCUUGUUUGUGUUUGGAUGCUUUGCCCACAACCAGCAUCAAUCUCAAAAGUUGUGGGGAUUUUGUAAUGAAAAAGAAAUAUUCAAAGGGUCGACAGCGUUUGCCGAAACCCAAGCACUUAGAUCUAAGCAGCUCGUUUGUCGAUAAUGGCCGGGAGUGGCUGCUCUCGGUUGAUAUGAUAAAUAGGAGUUCGAGGAAGCAGACCAAAAAUAGAAGACUUAUGGUUGUUGAUGAACUUGGGGGGCAGUAUGAAGAUAACUUUGAUGAUGUUAAAAUGGUAAGAAUGUGAAUUUGGAAUCGUUAUUCAUCUGUAUGCUUAAGACUGAAUUUAGAUAGGUAUUUAAGCACGUUUUGGUAGUUUAUUGUGUUGCUGAAAUGUAUCUUACUGAAUUUGGAUAAGAAAUCCUAUGUAGCUUAAUGAACGGUUUAACGGUUUAAGUCUGAUUCAAAAGUGCUUUGACUCUGUGAUGUGGUUCUAGCUUUGUGUAGUAUUUAGAGCUAUUUUCAUGUUGAUAAGACAUACUUUUGGGUACUUUGGAGAUUAUAGUUCUUGGAAGGCUUCCUUUUAGACGACUUUACUUGAACUAUAGGUUAUACAACUGUAUCCUUGAGUUCUAAGGAAGGCUUCCUUUUGGUUUUGCAAUGAUUUAGAUUACAAUUCAUCUACGGUAUGCAGCUUAGGAAUUCACAUGUCUUUCUAGUUCCUUGAUUCUUUUUCUAUGUUGAUAGACAUUAAUGAUAUAAAACAACGCUACCAUUAUUGUCGUAAUGAAGUAUUCAGAUGCAGAUGGGGCUCUCAGCAUAGGAAAAUUGUGGGUAUCCUUUCUUCCAAAUGAUCAUGCGAAGAUUUGGUAGGGAGCUGAGAAAGUUGGCCUUUCUACUAAUACUUUAAAGGCAUGCUAGACUCUAGAGUAACAGCACUAGCACAUGUUCUCUUGCUUGCUAGUGCUUUCAAAAAUUGGAGGGCAUUCAUUAUUGACUUUAGUAAGCUAGCUAGAAAUAACUUCUUGGAUGCUGUGGACUUGGUUGACCAUAACUAAUUGUAUUAGAGUCAAAAUUCCGGUUACACCAUGGUUAAGAGGAGUUUCUGUCUUAUGUAAUAUUGGGGACUGUAUUAACAUAAAUACAACAUAAAGAAGUAAUGCAAAAUCAAAAAUUGUAAACUGCAAAAAAUUGUCCCACACUUAUACUUCCACAUAAUCACUAUACGAAAGGACCUAUUACUAGAAUAGCUUUCAAUACAUAAAUUACGAUUUUGACUGCUGAACAACCAAUAUAGUUCCAAGCUAAGGAAUUGGAAUAGAAAGUUACAUUGGUCGAUACAGCAAUAAUCACAAUUGUUACUUAAGUCGACUCACGAGGCUUUUCAAAGCCACCAGUAUGAUACACAUACAAUGCAAAAACCAACAGGUUGAUGCCAAACGCAACUGAAAAUGUUCUUUUUAUACUUACGAGAUAUGCUUGAGACUUAAUCUUUUCAUUAAGUUUGUUAUACUUAUAGUCAGGUCCUGCAUUUUCAAAUUGUUGGUUGAUACUUCUUUUUAGUUUGAUUUUAAUGAUUUUCCAGUUUCUUGAGCGUUAUCUUCUCCCAUCCUUUGCUAAUUCAUUUGCCUAUGAAUUAAUUAGUGAACUGACUGAAAUUUCUCUGGCCCAGCAAAUGCUUAAUUAUUUUACAUACAAAGCUGUGAGGACUGUUAUGAACCAGCUGUAUGAAAUGAACCCCCCACAGUACAGGUGGCUUUACGAGUACGUGCUAUCUUUUGUUGCACUCUGAGACCUGCUUUUUUUGUUAUUUUUUUUCACUGGAGUUUGUUUAAUAUGCUGGUUUCGAUAUAGAUGCAUGAAAUAGUUGCAGUAUUUUAUAUCGUGCAAGAUCAAGUUUGGCUGUUAAACUAUUUCUUGUUAGAAUGGAUUUGGUCUUAAAUUUUGAUUCAUAUGUUUUCUUAUUCACAGUUUCGUGUUAAACAACAAGCCAACAGAUGGAAAGCAUUUCAUCCGCAGGCUUGUAAAGGUACUUCUUAAAAUUCAUACCUACUUCAUGACUUGGAUACUUUUUUUGUGACAAACAAGUAACCUUCAUUCAUUAAUGAGAGAAAUUACAAAAGAGGCUCAAGUGAUCAUAAGAAUCAUAAAAAAAAGAAUUGCCAAUGAAUGAAAAGAGAAGUUAGGCGUGUUAGUAAAGGAGUUUAAAUCUUUAGCUUUUUCCUUGAAGAUGCAGAUGGUUUUUCUUGAGCGAUGAUAACCAAAGGAUGGCUUCGUUGUGAGAGAUCCAUAGACCUCUUUACUCUUUACUAAUGUAUGACUUGGAUGCUAAUUAGUUGUACAGAGAAGCAAAACUUGUCUAAUUGAUGCUUCACAUAUGUUUUUCGCUAUUGAUUUUAGGGCAUGCUAUAUUUUGGAUUGAUAGUUGAAUAAAGGCAUGCUUUAGAAUGAUUUUGAGUGCAGCAUUAGUGAUUUUAACCAUUUCAAGAGGCUUACUAUAACUUGUUCCCAAAGUUCUUAUGGUUACCUUUUUAGCAUUUGGCUAUUAGUAGAAAAGAAAGGCCUGCCAUAGCACAAAGAUGUUACAAAAUAUGAUACGUUUCAAUAUGAUUGUUAGAUUGUGUACCAGUCUCUAUGCUUUAACUUCUAGUUUAGUCUACAAGUUUCAUUAUAGUCUAUCUAUUGAUUAAACCUACUACUAAGUAACAUGAAAUGCACCAUGUACAUAAACAUUCUCUAAUAAGUGGAAAAAUAGCUGUUCUAAGUAUGUAUAAAGCUCCAUCAUUUGUUGACAAAUUAGAAGUAGGAAAAAGAGCUAAAGUCAAAGAUUUGUUUAUAGGAUGGAGGUUUAGUAUGUGAAAAAUGAAUGCAUAUUGGAGUGAGAAAAAACUGUGAACCUCAAAAUUGCAUGCCAAGUUACACGAAGGCCUAUGCCUAAUUGAAGCCAUUUUGCUUGACAAUAAGUCAGCUUAAAUACACAACUAAAAUAUUUUCUUUUACUUCAAAAUCCCAAAUAUUCCAGUUUAAAUUUAGGGCAUCAAGGUUUAAGGUCAUUUACGGUGCGGUAGAUGUGGGAUGGUUGGCUACACCCACAAAACUUGUGUUUAACCACUAUUGACAACGAAUUGAAAGCAUGCACCAGCUUAAAUACACAACUAAAAUGAUUUCUUUUACUUAUGGAUUCCACACAUUCCAGCUGUAAAAUAGCGUUUUACUUCACCUGAAUCAUUGUUUUCCUAAUUGACAGGAACAGCAAGAUCUUGCUGAAAGAGUAAUGAUCACACGUCUCCACCUCUAUGGAAAAUGGGUGAAGGUAUUGUUAUCAUUAUAGUAUUUCUUUCCUUUCAAUACUAUAUGUUCUUUUAAUUAUAGGAAGACCAGUAUUUAUAUACAUGGAAACAAAAGCUUGCAAAAAUUUAUUUCUUCUGUGGUGUAGAAAUGUAACCACGCCGAAAUAUACCAAGAGAUCUCGGAUGAAAACGUGGAAUUAAUGCGAGAACGACUUAUGCAGACUGUUAUAUGGCCUUCAGAUGACACAAACACAGAGAAGAUUGGCUAAAGAAAAUAUCGAGUCAUUUUGAGUUCUCUCUUCCUUGACAUUCUUAUUGUAUUGCAUCCUUCAAUCCUAAUUAGUUUGAUUGUCGAGUUGCCAAUCUUAUUCUCACUGGUUAAGAAGUAGAAAAUCAGUGCUGCAGUCUUUUUUUUUUUGGUUGAAGGUAUGUAUGUAAUCAAUCAUUAUAUAAUGUAAGAUGUAUAUUCAUUUAGCCUCCAUUUUAGUUAUUGUGAAGGUAUAAUGUAGAGCUGGGAUUUCUUCUGUGUGCUUCUAUUUAUUCAUAUGCAUAUUGGGAUGAAAGGAUACUAGAAUGAGCGAUAAUGUGCGAUAUAGUUCUUUCUUUAUUUUCCCAUGUUGGAUAAUUUGUUUGCACAACUUCAAGCCUAAUGGACAUAAAUAUGUCUUCUUUUACUUGAAUGUGCUUGAAUUUUGAGAUUGUUUGGCAAGUUAUUAAGCAUGAUGUUGAGAAUAAUAGAACUUUUCUCGAGUUAGUAACAUGUAGGACAAAACUAACUGAUUAUUCAAGCAAGAGAGAUUAUAAGUUGGUAAUUCAUCAAUAUAGUAGAAGGAAGAAGAAUAAAGCUAGCGGGAAGAUAACCAAAAGUGGGGGCCACAAGGUAGAAGGGAGUCAUAUAAAUAGGAAAUAAGUGGGACGGGAAAGUCAGUUAGUUUCUGUUGUAAAUCAGUUCGAUGCAUUCUUGAGAGAUAAGAUCGCAGAUUGGUGAGAGAGAGAUUGUAUUCAUCGAAUUGAAGUAAUCAUUCAAUUCGAUUUCUUAACCUGUAAUCGAAAAUGAUUAAUAGCAAUAAAGUUUUAAAUUCAAUUCCUAUUGAAUCUGUAUUGGAUUCUAAGUUCUAACAUAUUGGUAUCAGAGCAAUUCAUCUUGGGAAAACAGAGGAAGAUGACAAAGAAGCAUGAAGAACAUUUUGAAGCAAUCGAACAAGAAAUUUCUGAGAUCAAAACGGGUUUGUAGAAGAUAUCGGUGACGGAGGAAAAGUUAACGUCAUUAGUGAAGAACAUGGAACAAUUAAAUGCUCAAAGUGAUAAGGAACAUCAGCAACAACAAUUAAUGUUGAAGAACUUAGAUCGAUUGAAUACGCAAGCUGACAACCAUAAACAACAUCAAACAUUGAUGAAGUAUAUUGAGAGUUCAGUUAAAGAAAAGUUGACGACUACUUUCGAUAUGGAAGGAUCAUUGAUAUAGAGUAUCAUCCAUUCUAGAUGUUUCUUUUAAGUUCUUUAAUAUUUCUUUGGCUAAUUCUUGAGUAUCUUGAAUUACCAUUCUUGUAUCUUGAGUUCGUUCUAAAUAACGAACUCAAUUCAAAGUUCGUUUUAGAAUAACUAACUUCUAACCAACUCUUGUAAACUUCUAGCCUAUAAAAGGUUUCCCUACUCGUUAAUAAAAAACAUUAAAAGUAUUAUUCACAAAAUUCCUAAGCUUCAUAGUAGUUGUAUCAGUUGGUAUCAGAGCGUGAUCCUAGCUCACUCUUCGCACAAAAAAAAAAAAAAAGGAUUUUAGCACUCCUAACCAUGGCCGCGAAAGCCUCCUUAAACCAAUGAUUCCAGUUGGUGGAACAAGCUACUGAAGAACUCCGAAAAGGACAGUCAUCAUUAGAUUUGACUAAUAUUUUUACCCGAUUUCAUGUCCAACCUUUUGAAGAAACAAUCCAACCCCCAAGAAACCCAAUUGUAGUGAACCAAGUACCAAGAAACCCAACUGCAAACCAAGGACGAUCAAGAAAUCAACUCGUUUACAUCCACAAUAACUGACUAUAUGUGAAUGCAAACAAGGAAAAAUAUCAGGUCUUAAAGCGCAAGACUGUCAUAUUUUGCUACACCAACUUCUAUCAAUCGGUGUUCGUCCAUUCUUACCAAAAAUGUGUACACCGUUAUUACUGAACUUUGUAGUUUUUUUCCUGAUUUGUGUGCCAGGACAAUAAGAGUAAGUGACUUGGACAGAUUGUAGGCAGAUAUCAUAAUUAUAUUGUGCAAACUGGAAAGAAUAUUUACUCCAGCUUUUUUCAGCGUAAUGGUACACCUAGCAGUUCACCUACCAUACAAGACCAAAGGUUGUUGGUUCGGUUUCUUACAGUUGGAUGUGUCCCAUUGAAAGAAGUCUCCGCACACUAAAACAAUAUGUUUGUAACAAAGCACAUUCUAAGGGGUCUAUUGUAGAAGGUUGUCUUAUGAACAAAUCAAGUACUUUUUGUUCUCGAUAUCUAAGUGAGAUUGAGACCCAAUUCACUAGAGAUGCUCAAAAUGACGAUAGCAUUCCAGAUGACGAGGUGAUUGGUGAGUUCGAAGUGUUCGUACAGAAGCUACGAUCAUUGGGAGCGUCCUAUUUUCGAAGCAUAUCACAAAAAGAUAAACGACUCUUUCAUUGGUACAUUCUCAAUAAUGUUGAUGAAAUAGCGAAGUACGGCAAGUAUGUAUCUCUACACUAAUCAUGAUGAGUUUUUGUUAUUAUCGCUACCUUAACUCAAAAUUAUGUACUUCAGGAAACACCUACUGUUGAUCCGUCAUCAGGAUGAAACCGUUUCUGAAACUUUUAAAAAACAUGAACAAGCUUUUUCUGAAUGAUUCAAAGCUCAGGUAUAUAGUGUAGAUGACUUUGAGAAUUUGUCCAUGCGGUAUUUUAUAUUCUAUAUAUAAUUCGUUCAUGUACACUCAUUUCAAAGCUCAUGUUAUAGCAUAAGGGCGUGAGAGUUCAAACAAUAUUUCUCAAGAUUUCUUCUCACUCCCAAUGAGACCUUCACUUGAGGUUCACUCUUAUAGUGGAUGCAUUGUCGGUGGCGUACGAUUUCACACAUUGAAGCGUGAUUUUUGACACACAACACACAACACGAUUUCACACAUUGAAGCGUCAUGGUAGUCGGUGAAGGUAGUGAAGGUGGUGCCGACAACAAUUUCUACGAUGUUUUGGAUGAAUUGGUGUAUGUUUUGGAUGAAGCAUCGUGGAUUACAUUGAAGAAUUUUGGCUUGGCUCUCGAAAUAACCUUUCUGAAACUGAACACUGACAAAUUUCCAGGUUUAUUCAUGAUCUACAAGAUGAGAUUACGGAUAUUGUAAACUUACAUUCUCUAAUUUUUCUUUCAGAUGUCAUCUCCUUGGCUUCCAAGAUUAAAGACAGCAAAGAGAUCAAGAAACCAAGAUUUAUCAAAGAAAGAACAAUCGGGGCAAAUAGCAAAGAACUAACCCAACUAAUUCAUUUAGAAACUUACAACAAGCAAGCUUGUCCACAUCCUCACAUCCUGUCAAGAAAAAUGACAAUCCACCAAAGAUUUCAACCACCAAACUAGGUAAAAAUACUAUAAAAAAGAAUGUUGACAACGUUUAUAACCAUCCUACUUUGAGUAAAUGCUUCAGGUGCAGUCAACAAGGACACCUCUCCAAUGAGUGCCCUCAAAGAAAAACUUUGGCAAUUGAAGAUGGACAAGAAGAUGAUGUCUCAGAUGACAACAUCUAUGAGAUUUCAACACCAAAAGAAGGAGAUCAGUUAUCUUGUGGAGUUCAAAGAAUUCUUUUCACUCUUACGACCGAUCGAAUACCUCAAAGGAACUUCCUUUUUCGAACAAUAUGCAGCAUUAACAAUAAAGUGUGUCAAGUUAUCACUGAUAGUGGUGGUAGUGAAAAUUUGAAAACUAAACCACACCUGAAUCCCUAAGGUUGUUGGAUAAAAAAGGGGGGAGAAUCUACUAUUAAUGAGGUUUGUACUAUUUAUUUAUCAAAAGGACAACAUUAUAAAGACCAAAUUAUAUGUGAUGCUCUAGAUAUAUGGAUGCUUGCCACAUCCUUUUAGGACGACCUUGGUAAUAUGACACAGAUUACGUUCAUAGAGGUAGAGCUAACACUAUUGAAUUUGAUUGGGUGAGUCAUCAUGUAAUUCUUUACCUAUAGCCUAUAGGCAACUCCCUCGAAAAAAAAAUUAACCCUAAUAGAGGAAAACAACUUUUUCCAGUAAUCAAAGGUAAGGAGUUCUUGCCAUCCUUUGUCAUUAAAGGAAACAACACUACACCUUCAAAAAAUCACACCUAGUAAGAUAACAAACCUUCUAGUCGAAUUCUAAAAAAUAAUAGAACCAACCACUUCUCUGCCACCUCUUAGAAAUAUACAUCACACUAUAGACUUAAUGCUUGGUAGUAUCUUACCUAAUCUACCACAUUAUCAAAUGAACCCUAGGGAGUACAAACUCUUACAUGAACAUAUAGAAGAACUCCUUAGCAAAGGUCGUAUCCAGCCUAGCCUAAGUCAUUGUGUUGUCCCAACUUUAUCUUGCUUACUAACCUCUUUUCUCUUAAAUUUCUUAAUUCCCAAAAACCAAUUAGUAGAAUGCAUACUCGAUGGCUACAAUUAUUGCAACGAUUCAAUUUUGUGAUUAAACAUACUUUAGGUAAGACUAAUAAGGCUGUUGAUGCUCUCAAUCGAAAAGGUAUACUUCUCACCACCCUCUAAUCUCAAAUAAUUGCCCUUGAUCAUCUCCCUACAUUGUACCCACUGACAUUGAUUUUAGAAGUAUUUGGGAAGCUUGCUCAGCCGUAAACCUUGCAAAGACUACUACAUUGUUAAUGACUUUCUCUUCAAAGGUAAUGUUUUGUGUGUACCUCAUACAUCUCUAAGAGAGGCAAUAAUUAAAGAAGCACAUUCUAGUGGGUUAGCAGGACAUUUUGGUCGAGACAACAUUAGCUGCAAUUUGUGCCAAAUUCUUUGGCCACAACUUAUGCUCUAUUUGUCAAACCGCUAAAGGUAAUUCUCAAAACAACAUUCCUACUUUGAGCAUCAUACACCAAAAUUUGAAAUAGAUGUACCCAUAAGCAUAUAUAUUUCUUUUCAUUUUUCUUUUUUUCCCCUACCUCCAAUGUUUCUUGUAACUCUACUCCACAAAAAGAAAUUAACAACAAUAAUAAUAAUUAUUAUUAUUAAUAAUUAAUAUUCUAAACAAAAUUAUGGCUUUGGGAUCUUCCCAAAUUAGAAGUUUUGAUUUUAAUUGUAGUGCACAAAAUGGUCAAAUUUAAAUAAAAAGGUUAGAUAAUUCAAUCUUAAAUCAAAUUGAAUUAGAAAAAAACAAAUUCUUAUACCAGAUCAAAUCAAAGACUUUAAAGUCAAUCUUGGAAGUCUAUUCUAUAUGUAAGCCAGAAUUUGGAUAGAAUUCAAUAUUUCACCUUGAAUUAAAAAUUAUGGAACACGACAAAUAUUGUAAACAAAAUUCAAAUUAAAUUUAUUGUUAUAGAAAAUUAUGAUUGGAAUAUAACAAGCAAUAUUAAAAUGUAGCCAAAUAAAUAAUAAUAAUCACAUAGAUUUCAAUGCUCUAAAUUAAACAAUUCAACGUCCCAAACAUAUACUUGCAAACACAUUAUUCAACCAAUAGAGGCUGGUAUGCAUCCAUGACUUGAUGAUAAUUGAUAUAUAUUCAUCAAUAUAUAUUAUAUGAAGUUGGAGGCUCAAAUCCUCCACAUUACCUCUUGUAACACUUUGUAAAAUCCGAGGCUCCAGAAUAGCCAUUGAGGGAAUUCAAACCACCGUCAUUAACCCCAAUGGAAAGAGAUUAUGUUAUAUCCCAACCAACACCAAUUAUCUAAAUUUAAGCAUCUUAAAUUCUGCUGCCUUAUCACCCUCUCAUUUGUACACUUAGUAAACAAAAAAUGUUAGAAAAGCAAUGAGGUGGAUCAUCAAUAACCACACAAGUUAGAACACACACGCAAUCUAGUUAAUUGGACUGCAUCCCUCCCUCUUGGGAUCACACAAUAAGAAUAGUUCGUCUACCCAAAAAGCCACAUAAAUACAUUAGGGAUAAAUAUGGAUCAACACCACAAUAGAAUUUCAGAAGUGAUUCAUAAGGCUCUCUCAAUUUCUUUAUGUAAAAUGCCCUCGCUGGAUCUUUAUCCUAUUCGUUAACCAUGAUUGAAUCCGCAUAAAUUUAAUUGGCAACAAAACAAAAUAAACAGGAAAUUAAGCAUAGUAAUAGAUCUGGACAUCAUAACAGUAAUUACUUUGAAGGAAGGGAGACAACUGCAUGAAUUGAAUUACUCUCCCUAUAUGCUUGAAUAAUAUGAGCUAUCCCUGAAAAGGUAUAAUUUAGAUAAACAAUCAUCCAUUUGGUUUUGGGUAUUUUUCCAUAACAAAGCUACAGGAUAUGUUUAUCAGAAAGAAAACAUGCCUCUAGGUCUUAGUGACCGCUGGAGCAGGGUAUGAAAAGGUCAAUCUUUUGUCUAUAUUCUGAACUCACCAAAGAGACAGCUAUUCAAAUUACAUGAUGAAUAUUGAAUAGUGAAGUUUUUUAUAGGCAAUAUUUACGAGUCUUAUAUUACACUUUCAAGCCAAACUAUCAUAUGAUAUGACAAUGUGACGUACUAAACAGGAGAAAAAGGAAAAAAAAUUUAGAGAAAGAGAUCAAAAUUUCCACCAAUAGAGGCUGGUAUGCAUCCAAAAAUGAAGAUUUUUAUGAGUAACCUGUAAGGCCAAGAGUCGCUCGUGGAAUAUAUACUGGAAAACGAGGAAAGCUUCAUGUUCCUGUGAGGCCAAUGACAGCAGACAAAGUUUUGGUAUGUUAGAGCUCAUGUUACAUUUCUUUAUUCAUAAAAUAUUACAAAGCAAAUAAAGAUUUCCCAGGGUCGACAAAUCUCAUUAGAGAGACACAUAUACAACAGUAAAGUUAUUUAUCACAAUUCACAAAAGAAAAUAUAGAAAAUGAUAGACUACAAGAUUCACCAAUUGAGUACUAAAAAUUUGUCUUUUUUUCAAGAACAAUUGCUUAUUUCAAAGAUACUGUUACCGUAAUUUAAUAACAUGUGACAGUUUGGUUAUAGUUCACAAGUAAAUUAUGAGUCACUUGCUCAAUGAAAUAAUAAGUAGCAUUUUAUUUCAAUUGGGCAUCUGGGAAGGGAUAAUCAGACCUAAUCAUACAAGAUUCGAACAUACCAGAUGGAUCAAAGCCGCCAACGAAAAGCUCAACAAUAUCCUACAAAAACGGUGGAUGAAAAACAAAACUGCUAGCAGCGGACUUCUUCCCUUGGGUUUUGAGGAUGGGAAAAUUUAUAAUGUAAUACCAUCACCGAAAGCUAUUAGCUGUCCAAGCACUGUUCUCACACGGAGCUAUAAAGGAGAAAACUUCGUAUUAAGAUAAUAUAUGAGGAAAAUGGAGGAUGGGAAAGUUAUAUGGUAAAUAGAUCUGACCUUUACAUCCAGGCACGGAUCAUUGACCAUAUUCUUUAUUUGAGAAACAAUACCGGCAUUCCGUAGCUUAGUAACACGAUCUAGUGCACGAGGACUUGAAGGCAAGGUAAGAUUUAUUAUUGCCCAGAUCACAGCAAUUCGAAGCUGACUGUUAUCACUCUGCAAAAACUUCACCACAAACGAGCGGGUCACGUCAUCUCCUCGUGGAAAUAGUUGUUUCAUUACCCCUUCCUUAUGAAACUCAUUUCCACUUGCAACAUUGCAAAGUACAUACAUUCCCUGCAUCAGUCAAACUUCAAUAAUUAUUCCACUACAUGAAGCUUAUCACUUUCUUCUCUAACACCUCUACUACUCCUUUGCAGUAUGGACUGCUUAAUAGCUUCCAUUGAUAUACUCGAUACAGAUGUUAUAGUCAUAUAAAAUUCCUAAAUACAGAUUCUAUAGUAAUAAAAUUCCUAAAGGAUAGUUAAAAAUGAUCUGCUGCUACUGAAAUUUAACUGUUCAGUGCAGACAGCAUGGACAUUAGCCAUCAGAUGGCGCCUUUCUUUGAAAUCAUGCUUUCUUUAAAUGCAUACAACAUAUUGAACAUUUCAGUAACAUAUAUGCAGCUGCAGAACUUCACCUGUGUCUAACUUUUUGUUCCUACCAUUAAUAGCAGACCCAGAAAGUCAUCUUAGGGGAGCACAAAUUUAUGGGACGUUAGAAGUUUAACCAAUGAACUUCAAAAUUUGUAUCUGGUCUCUAAACUUUAAGAAGUGUCAACUAGGUCUCUCAAGUUCUCAAUUAUUUUGUCAAAUAGAUUUUCUUAAAGUGUCAGUUUUGCAUCAAAUAAAUAUUUAUGAAACUUGAAAUGUUUAUCAAAGUUUAUUAUAGAACCAAGUUUUUUAUACUAGUUUUUCUAAAAUAAUUUACAAAAUAUUUAUAUAUCUGUAUAUGUUUGCAGAUAUGAGAAAAAUUAAAAUAGAAUGAAAUUCUAUUUAACCAGUUUCAACACUCCAGAGUGCAUAUUAAAAUAAUGCAAGAAUAUUUAUAUAAUUAUAUUGCAAAAUUAAGAAAGAAAAUUGAAAACUAAAAGAGUAUAUAAUAAAUAUGAGUUUAAAAAUUUGGAAAAAAAGAAACUAAUUGAAUAAACCAGCUUUUUUCGAUUCUAAACUGAAAAUUGCAAAUAAUAGAAAAUAUAUUUCCAUGUAAAUGAAAUUAAAAGAAAAUAUUAAAAAAUUGCAAGAAGAUGGCUUAAUGAAGGAUCGAACAAGGUUAGGCCUUGGGAGGACAACUUAACGACCAUGCUCACUUGACCAUUGUACCAAAGACAAAUUAUAUGAAAACGUUCAAAGAACGCCAUACAUGUAUAUAAAACUGAUCACUCGUUCCCCCUUUUCCCCAAUGUGAAUCCACCCCUCCCUAUCAUCCUAUGAAAGAAAUCCACCAUCAUUCUGAAUCUUUCCAUCAUUAUUGGCUCCCUUAAGAAAUUUCAAAAUCUCCUUCCAUGUUUGAUAUCAGCUUUCUAAGAGUAAAGUAGACAUGUAAAGAAACAGAAGUUCUAGACAAAUGCCACAAUCGCCAAACCAAGUGAGGAAGGGUAUUGAAACUCCUAUGGAAAGGAGACAGUCUUAAUUGGCUAAUUUCCCAAGGUCGUUUGCUCAACCAAACUCCAUAUAUUGAAAAAAAAUUGGGUUUCCAUCUAAACACAUGACCAAGUAACAUACAAGCCACAGGCUUACGGCAUAAGCAGGCAAAAAUGACAUUUCCUUUAUCUUUCGUCACUAAAGUGAUAAUUUAAUUUUAACUCACAAUUUUUGUUUUUUAAUCUUGUUUGCUUUCUUAAAAGAAAACAUGAAAAUAGUUUUAUUGCUAAAUGAUGUUAUAAACGAAAAGAACAUCCUGAGACUAGUUAAAUGGUCCUUAUGGCCUUAAAACUGGAAAUAUCUCUCUAGUUUGUCGGUCUCUAAUUCUAUGUAAAAUAGUACUGAAUAGUGUCAGACUUACUUAUAAGAUCUUUCCGGGAGGGAAAACGUCAAUACUUCGACAUGGCAUGUUUAAUCAAUUUGUGUCUAUUGUCUUUAGGUGACUAUAUGUUUAUUUUUAUUCAGCAUGGUAGUAACUAGCCAUUAUCAAGCUGGGGUUAGAGUUGCCAGGUUAUUACUGGUAAGUUGGUAACUGAUACCACUUGGUAAAAUCAGGCUCUUCUUAGAAAUAGACUACUUUCCAAUCAUUACUUAGACUUUUCCUCUCCAAAAUAAAACCCUAAAAAUAAAAUUAAACUAACCUGAACUCCAAUUUCAUCCGUUGAAAUAUUUUGCAAUUGCUGGCCAAUAGUAUUCAAUACAAUAGCAUCUUCAGCAAACACAUACUCAAUUGAAUCCUCACAUCCAUCAAUAAGAUUGCGCACAAGGGCCAUAGCAUGCUCCUGUAUGGAAGGCUCGGGAUCUGAACAUAAACAGGUGAUGCAACAUUUGAUUAAACACAAAAGAAAAUCAACAAUAAAGAUGGACAGACAGAGUUCAACAGUACCGCAAACAAGGCUAGCUAACAAGGAAGCUGUUAACUCCAUGAAGAUUGCUUCCUUACACAUAAUGUUCGUGAGGAACAUUAAAUUCCUUAAAGCCCACAAUGCAUUAAGCCUUAUUUCCAAGUCCAUAGACUUUGAUAACCGAACCAGCUCUUUCACACCUCCACAUCCUAUAAAUAUUGAUCUCUUCGUUGAAAAUUCAACCACUAUGUUGCUAAUAGCACCAAGUGCUGCAAGCUGGUUAAAGAGUAUGAAAUGAUAAUUAUCAUUCAAAACCAAAAAUAACUGGAAAGUUCUCCAAACAACCCCUUUCAAUUUGAACAUUCAAUGGCUUAAAAAGUCGGAAGAUUCCCACUAUUGGGAAACUUGAUUUAGUAAGAUAAUGGGCAUACCUGAACAUCAUUACAAGGAUCGUGUAAAAGCCGAACUAUGGGAAGGACAACUGCUUCGUUCAUAAAGUAACCUGCGCUCAAAUUCUGAAUAGGAUGCUCUUAAAAAACAGGGGAAGGGGAAAAGACUGUGAACAUCAGAAAAGCUAAUAUGAAUACAAUAUUACACACCUUGAUUGAUCGAGAAACACUUCUCAAGCAAGUGCAAGCUGCAAUGCGUAUGUCGCUACUUUCAUGUUUUAUGGCAUCAAUCACUAUGUUCAUUACCUAGGUCAAGAUUAUAAGAAAAUAAACAAAGUCCAUAAACCUUAGAACAAGUUAAAUUGAAACGAAUUUCAGAUUGACUAACCUCCAUCAGUCAGCAGCUUAGUUAAAUUAUCAAAAUGUAGAAUAAAGAAAGAAAAUUUUGAGUACCCACUACAAUUAAUAUAUUUCCACGUGCUACUUCUUCCUUCUUUUUUCUUUUCCUUUUUUUUUUAAUGUUUUUCUUUUUUUUUUUCUUUUAUUGAAUUGGAAUAGACCAGCAGGUAUAAUUUAACUUUUUUCCUUUGAGAAACAGAUAACAGGACACCUUUGUCAAACAGAAAAACAAAUCUUUAUAGCAAGAAUCAGUAGCAACUUAGGUCAGAAAUAGAGCCAUUGAGAAAGAUUCAAAUAGACAAGCAAGCAACUUUAGAUGUCAAUUUAGGUACCUAGUCAUGUUGACUUAGUGAAAAACAUGACUAAUCUCUUGACUAGGAAAACUGCACAAGUUAAAUACAAGUAAUCGAUAAAUGUUAUGAUCAAAACUAAUAAGUUGGUUUCAUAAUAAAUAAGUUGAUGCAAUCAGAAUAGUAAGCAAACCUGCAAAGAGAGAAAUCUAGACCUACAGCUCUCCAACUUUGAGCACAGAUGAGAAAAGGCCAACAACAUUCCUUGAAAACGUCUAGGACUUAACUGAUCCUUUUGCAAGUGAUUGUACAACUUAUCAAUUGCAUUUGCCUCAAAAGCUAAUUUCUGUAGCUCCUCCUUCUCUGCAAUUAAAGUUGAAAAAACAAACGGAGCUUCAUCUCCAACUUGAUCUGGACUGUCAAGAAGCUCAAGCAAACUAUGUAUCAAUUUCAUUUUGAUUCCUAUAUCUUGAAAAUAACAAGGUGACGAAUUCCUUAUAACGAUCAAGCAUACGCAGGCUAGUAAUCUUGUCUUGGGAUUUCUAUCCUUCAAAAGCUCAAUUAUAUAAUUCAGACAAUCUUCUCUACCAGGUUGCAUGAACCUUGCUAUCGCUUCAACAUUAUUUUUAAAUAUUGUCGCAAUAGACUCUAAACUAGCAUCCCUUUGACUUAGAGAACCAUCAAGAAGGUCAAUCAGCUUCUCAAGAACUCCACCAUCAUGCAAUGCCUUCUGCUCUGCAAUUGUCUCACAUGAGUGAACAAUGAUACUUGCUCCAAGUCCAGUCACGUUUUCAUUUUGACUAUUCAGUAAUGAAAGAAGAAAUUUGGUGUUUUCCUGCUGAAGGAAAUCAUGCUUAGGAGCCAACUUCGAUUGAUAAAUCAUUCUUAACGAACGAGCUCCAGCAUCCACAACCUUUGAAACAGAAAAAAAUUAUAUACCCAACAAAGUUCACAUUAUGAUUGAAAAGUGAGGUGAAAAAAAGAAAACAGAAAAAAUGUUGCAUUAUGUACACAACAAAUUUUUUUAAUUUGUUGAAGGAAUAAUCAUAAAAAGAAAGGAAAAAUUGGAGAGAUUUUGAAAGGAAUAACUCUUUUUUUGCUUCUUCUUUCCUCCUUUUAGAAGAUGGUAGUUCUAAAAGAGUAUUUAAGGAAUCUGCUAACUAAACCAAAUCCUUCCCACACUCCAAAAACUAGUCCAGUUCCAACGAGAUCUUCUUUUUCAUUUAGAUUAGAAGAUAGAAGGAUCGACGCCACAGAAAUGAAACUAAGAACUAAGCGAGAAUUAGAAAUUUGCUUGAAUCCUUAAUCAACGCGUUAAAAACAAUCCUUGCAUUUGUAACUUAAAAUUAACUUCAUAAAUGAAAAUUGCAACACACCAACAAUAAAAGACUCCUCAAUUUCCUAAGAAAUGCAAUUCCAAAUUGAAACAAAACUGCUAAAGAGAAGAACCUUGGGAUCGGGAUGGGCAAGCAAUCGAAGCAGUCGAGGGAAAGCUCCGGCAUCGAGAACGGCAGAGACACCAGCGUCGACGCCGCAAGUAAAGCUGCCAAGAACAGCAGCGGACUGAACGAGAAUGUUGGGGUCAGAAGUGGAGGAGAGAAUAGCAGCUACAUGGGGGACAACGCCGAGCUUGAUGAAGGAAAGCUUCUUAGUGCGGUUACCGAUGAUCUGAUUUUUGAUGUCUCUCAAUGCCUUGAGGUUAACGGCGGCGUCAGCAACAGUCAAUCGGGCGAUGAGGUCAGAGGAGGGCUUGGGAAUCGCAGAAGAAGCUGAGGUUGGCAUCGUCCCAGUACUGAGGGAGCUACUGGGAUGGGAAUGGCAUGGAGGCCAAAGCAGAGAGAGGUUCAACACAAACCUCCAAUGGAGUUUUUCAGGGGAAAAGGAUUUUUCUUUUUUCUUUUUUCUUUUUUGGAUCCUCCAAUAAUUUGAUGGUUCAAAAGCAAAAUAAAAUCAUCUUCUUUGAUAAUAUGUGUAUUUUUAUCAAACUAUCAUUCUAAAUAUAAAUACAAAUUCCAAUAAUGCUAUUCUUUUUAUUCAAAUUGCUCUUCAAAAUUUAUUGGUUUUCAGGGGGUUUUUCCAAAUGAAAGAAAACAAAACUAGUUUUUCUAAAUAUGUUAGUCAUAAACUUUUUUGGAUUUCAAAGUUGACCUAAUUUUUUUUCAAUAAAAUAAAAAUAUUUAAAAGUAAAUUUUGAUUUUGGAAUGAAAAUUUGUUUUAAAAAUACAUUAGAACUUUAAAAAGAUUCUCUUACACUAAAAAAAGUCAAAAAUACAUUUAAAAAAUAGUUAGUGCAUGAAUAGAAACUACUAGUAAGAGCAUAGUAAAAAUAACACUAUUUUCUAAAAUAUAUAUAAUUGUUUGAAUCUUUCUUGAGUUCGUGAGAAAGAAAAUUAAACAAGAAAAAUAAAUAGUUCAUUUUCCUAAAAAUGGAAAAAUAAUCUAUCUUAGCCUUCUUAAUUAUUAUGUUAUGUUAAGUAAAUAAUUGUGUUCAAUUGAUUGAAGGUGAUCAACUUUUUUACUUCUUUAAAACUCAUUUUAUUUUAAUAAAAUUAAACCACUAGAUUGAAUUCAAUUUUUUUAUACUUUAUAUAUUUUUAGACUAUAAUCCAGCUAUUUAUGCAAUGAUGGUAAAGAGAUAUCAAAUGAAGUAGUUGCAUGCCUAGAAUUUCAUGAAAGAAUUCUACUCAUCAUUCACGUUCAGAUAGGCCAAAAUUGAGAAAGUCCCAAAGGCUUGCUUUUUAAUGGACAAAAAAACUUAACUGCUCCCUUAGAUGCAGCUACGUAGUUCGAUAUAAUUUUGCCACGUACUAUCAAUAUUGCUUUCUAAUUACUUAUGUUGUCAUAUAGAAGUGAGGAACACAAGAGAUAAGAUGCACUUAUUCAUUGCUCUUUUCAAUAACGUGUUUCUAAUUAAUGUUUACUUCAAAUAUAAUGUCUUUGAUGUAGUCUUUGUUUCUUUUUCUUGCUCCAUUCAUACUUAAACCGUGUAUCUUGUAUUCAACUAAUAAUGUGAUUGUCAACUUCUAGUUUCUAAGAUCAAAAUCAUGCAAUCCAAUGUUUGGAUAUAUCUAUAAGUUGAUGGAAAUAUUCUCUUAAAUCACCCAUUGAUUCAAAAGUUUAAGCUGAUGGAUGAAGAUAAAUUUAAGGAAACAACAUCAAAUAACAAAAGCAUUUAGAAAAAACAAUUCAUGACACCUCUUUUUCGCGAAUAUGGAAAAUAUGACAAGUAAUUAGUGUUAUCAGACGACUAUCGAACGGUUAUCAGAGAACUAUCAUAGAGAUAUCGGCACCUCUUUUUUGCUAUUUUUGUAAUUGCCCCUAAAUUUAAUAAUACAAUCCAACACUUCUCCUUCCAUGUAGGCUUGAAUUAAGCUGAUGAUUCUUUAUUAUUCUCUCGUAUAUAAAAUACGAACUUCUCAUUCGAAUAAAUUUCAACACUAAAAUAUGGUAGAAGAAACUCAUCAAAAAUGGAAAAUAUACAUUAAUAUCACUUUGCAUGUAUCCCAUUUACCAUCAAAUAUCAUCAGAGAUUAUAACAUGCAUGGGGUAAAUACGAAAUGAGGAAAAUAAAUAAAUAAAAGAACUAUUUAUUCAAGUGGACCGUACAUAAUCUAUGGUCAUAAGUCCAGAACAUAACAAUGUCAGGUAACCCAAUUUUUGUAGUAGGGUAGGAUUAAUGUAUUAGGUUCAAAAUCCUUAAUUAAUUAGGAUUUGAGAAUUAGUUUUCUUGGUUUAUUAGGAUUAGUUUCUUUUAUUAAUUAGAGAUUAGAUUUAGUUUGCUUCUGAAUAGAGGACCUAUCUUCUUAUAUAGACAAACUUUUGAUUAUUAAUAAAAUUCUCUCCUUAGUAUACAUCAAUUGAUGUCAAAGCAUGCAUCGAGAUCAAUUAGGCUUGGUGGAGGGAAAGAAACCUUCCAAAGACAUAAACUUCUCAAAAUAAAGAGACAGAGACACAUGUAAUGAAACAAACUUUUCUACACUUUUCUACUCAACUGAAGUCAUUACCAUUUAAAUAAAUAUAGAUUUUUUAAUUUUAAAUAAAAGAAAGUACUAAAUUUUUAUAAAAUUGUUUUAAAUAUUUAGUUAAAAUCAAUAAUAAAGUAUAUAACGAAAGAAUAAAAUAAAUAAAACAUUAAUUAGAAAACACUAGUCGGGCCCUAAUUAAAAUAAAAGGAUAUAUUUAAAUAUACUUAUAGUUACGAAAAUAAAAUACUGAAACUUAAGUACUAAAACAUAAAUUGUGGAAUAAAACUUAAACUAUUUUCUAUGGCGAACCACGGUCAUUCUUGUCAUUCGCCAGUUUUCCCUUACCUACUUUUGCUUAAAAAAUUAAACAUAGAAAAUAGUGAGUAUAAACGUAUACUCGGUAAGGGGCUACUACUAGUCCUGUUAUGUAUCUAUUUCAUUAGGAUAACCUAGGUAACUUAGUCUUAAUCUUGAGUGCAUUAUGAACUCCUGUUUGCGAGGGGUUGUCCUUUGAUUUGUACCGGUGAGAGUGGCAAGAUCAUUGAUUCAAUAAGCUUAUCAUUUUGGAUACAAAACCUAGCAUAAACUUGAAAACAUAAUUAUCACACCAGAUUGAAUUAGCUCCUUCUCUACUUGAGGGUAAGUAUAUGAAUGUUCCCUUAAAUGGUGUCUUCAGAACUUGAAAAAAUGGCCCUAUCCUCUCUAUAACACGAGAGGAGGUUUCUGUUUAUUGGUAGGACCAUAAAAAAGUUGUUCAUUAGAGGGGCACUUGUAUUUAAGGAUUAGAUGUAACCUAGGGGUAAAACGGUAAAUUAACCUCAACUAGUGUUACGAACACUCGUGAAGGACUAACUUACUGUUAUUGGUCUAUAUCCACAGAUACAAAAAUAUAUCUACCAUGAAAAUAGUUCAGUUAUGAGUCUUUAGUGAAGUGUGCAAUAACUUAUACUUCACGAAAUGGGAAUUUCUAUGUUGGGAUUAAAUGGAAAGGGGAAGGGAUAAAAAUCGAGGGGAAACAAAUUGAUUUCUAGGAUUUCAUUACAUAGGAAGUGAAUUUUUUACUUUAGGUGCAUAUGUAAGAUUGAUCGACAAGAGAGACCAAGUCAAUACAAAUCAUCAAAUUUAAUUGCAAACAAUUUUUCUUCUCCUAGUAUUUUUUUUCUUUUCAAAUAGAUCUUCUAUUAAGAAACAUAGCAGGCAGGUACUCACCCUUCUUUUACCUUUGAAACCUCACCAUGGGAUAAUUUAUUUUGCCAUUUGGUAGACAAAACAAGUUUGCCCGAUGACUUGGUCGACAGAUAGGUUGACAUUCCAUUUUUUCUCCCUCCAAAGUUCGAAAGUAAAGUUUGAAAGUUGAAUGUUGAUAUUCCACUUUUUCUCCCUUCCUUUAAAAGUUCGAAAGUAAAGUUUGAAAGUUGAACGUUACUAAAUCUGAAAUCUUUAACCUCUAUCUUCCGGUUCUAUAUAUCUUGAUCCAUAGCUUUGAUUAAUCAACAUGGAAUGUUCUUGAUAUUUAUUCAAGCAAAUCUUACCUUUUUAAAAAGUUUCUUCAAUUUCUUCACAAAAUUUCUCUUGCGUGCAUCUUGGAAUUCACAUAGGCUCAUGAGAAUAGGAAUGUCCUCCUCCAACUUCCAACCAAAAGUUCCCUUAAAUUCUUGGCAUUUCUUUUGUCCUAUGAGGAUUAAUAUUGGUCCCUUACCCAUAUGGAUGAAACUCGGUUGAAUGAAACUCGACCUGGCUCGGAUGUGACUUUUAGAUGAUAGAAUUUUCGUCAAUCCCACUUUCGUGCUCAUUUCUAUCUCAUUCUCAAAAGAAAGAAUGUCAUUACGUAUUGAAUUAUUUUUAUCUCAUUUUCAAAAGAAAGAAUGUCAUCGCAUAUAUUGAGUUUUAAAAGAAAGAAUGUUUUUGCACAUUAAAUUCCUAUCCAUCAGAUAAUUUUGACGAUUUGCUAAAAAAAUUCUAUAUAAUAUAUAAGUUCUUAAAUGGACAGAUAAUAAAUAACCAAAAUUCAUAAUUGCAGUCAAUAUGCCCUAGGAUUAAAUAUUUCUGUGAUCGAAGAUUGACAAUAACCUGCAUGAACCCAUCUUCACAAAUAUUGAUGAGAUUAAAGCCAAACAAUUGGGAAAUUGUAAAUUCCAAUUCAAAUUUAUAAGUAAACUUUAAUUUCUCUCAAUAUUGGAAAGAUUUUGAAUAACAAAUGCUUUAAUCCAAGAACAAGACUGUUGCUCCAUCUUCCAUACCUACACCUAACUUCAUAGCCUAAAUAAAAUGUUACCUUUAAGAGGACCAAGUCUAUCAAGAUGGGUUCUCCUUCUCAAUCUACUAAUCCUUCAUCGAGGAAAAAAAAUCGGGAUGUGAUUGAAUUUCUCAUGUUCCACGUCAAACCGAAAUAUGGGAAAAAUAUUUGGACGAUGGUGUUGGUAAACAACUCUUUCUCAUUAAAGAGCUCCAUCGAAGUAGACACCAUAGGAACUAAGAAGGCACAAAGAAAGGUUUGGACCAUUGACCACUAGUAGAAGAUAAUAUGGCAAAUGCAUGUUAAAGUUUCUACCAAGGUACCAAACUUCUUAUGAGAGAGUCUCACAAUUUUGUAAGACUUUGUCUUGGGGCUAAAUCCAAAUGGUAAACAUAGUUGGACUUAGAAGGAAGUUGAAUAUACUCAUUUGUCAUGGGAUUCGAUAGGCAAAGACCCUUAAAACCAGAUGUACUUAUAGGAGUUAGAGAAAGAAGGAAAAGUCCAUUGCAAAUUUGCAAGAAUGUAUGAUUUUGAUACAACUUUUGGACCAACUAGGAUGGAAGCUGAACGAGGCAACACGAUUGAAUAUGUUUAGAAUCCAAGUCGAGGAAGUGGAACUUUGAACAAUGGCAAUAAUAAUCAUCUAAUAAAGGCAAAGAAAAACUUGGAAGUUGAAGGUUGAAGGUGGUUUUGUAUUAUCAUCAUCAAUAAAUCAUCAAUAAAGUUGUGUUUCACAGCGGUUUUUCAUGUGAAAGUAAACGAUGUUAAAUCUUAUUUGUGUUUUCUUCAUUAUCUCAAACACACAUAUUUGUGUGUAUAUAUAUUUAAAGAAAAAAUCCUCUACCUAUAUCUAAAACUAAAAUAUCAUAUUAUGGAUUUUAUUUAAACCAUCAAAUAAUUUAAAAAGAACUAUAUAUAUUUUGGUUGAUUUUUAUUUAACAAAGUUAUUUAUCAAAGUUCAAUACGAUUUCGUUUAUAUCAAGAGUGUUAUAUUUGUAACAUUUUGAAUUUUAGAGGCUCAAUGAAAACCAUAAUAGAAAUUGUGGAUCAAAACUACAUUUCCCCCUAACAAAAUAAUAAAACAAAAAAAAAUCACCUUUAGUUAGUUACAUGUAAGUUACCAUUUAGUUCAUAAGAAAGUUUUCAAUAUUACAAUAAAUAAAAAACUUUCUAUACUAUCUAAUUUCGUUUAUUUGACCUCAGAUCAACACACUUUUUAAAAAAUAAAAUGCGAUUAUCUGAUAUUAACGUGGAAUUCACAAAUGUUUGUAAAGACAAAUAUAUGGUGUGGACGUGGAGAGUGCAUGAUAUUCAUGUAGUACUCGAAAAAUCAAUGCUAACAUUGAUCAAUACUUUUAAAUUUGGAAUGAUUUACUAAUUAAACUUAUCAUGAAAUAUAAUUUAUUCGUCACAUAAAUAAUUAGUCCCCUCCAUUGAAAUUUGCAACUUAAUCCAUUGUGAAAAAUCUCAUAAACUAAUGGUCAAUUUUGAUUAUGCAACAACUUUAGUGAUUAUACUAUCAUUUAUAAAUAAAUUUGAGUUUUAAUCAAUUUAUCAAUCUAGAUCAGUAAGAAAUUUCAUUAAAUUUCAAUUGUAUUCUUUACGAUAAGAAUCAAAUCAAUACAAAUCAUCAAAUAUAAGGACUAAAAUGUUAACAAAUUUGAAAUUACAUGAACUAAUUAAAUUGAAGCAAAUUUAAAGUAGGCAUGAACUUUGAUAUAGUUAGAAAAGUGACGAGUAAGUUGUCUAAGUGAACUUAACUUAGUCAUAAUUGGGACGAACAUCUAUGCAUCAUACUAAAAAAAUAUUUUUUCUUUCCAUGAUGUAGUUUGAAAAAUAAUUUAUUGUUUAUUUUAUCUUUCGAAUUUAGCUUAGAUUAAACGUUGAGAGUUUUUUUUUACUAUUAGCUUGUUCGAUAAUUGUUGUACUAAAAAUGAUAUGUUAACUUAGAAAAUGUGGGGAACUAAUCAAUUUAUCCUCAUCCUAUUCAUUUGCUAAUUGAAUAACCAACAAACAAACGGCAGGAGUUAGAGUUAUCAAAUCUGCGACCAAACCAAACCACCAUGACCAUGUUCAUCAUCUGGAGCUUCUUCUAAUGAAAUCCAUCGCACCAUUUGAUUCUUCAAAACACCACUAAUUCCUCACAUUUCUCACCCUUAAAUCCCCUUUUUCCCAUAAUUUAAACUAACCCCAUUUCUCUCUCUCUCUCUCUUUUCAUCCACAUUGUGGCAAUGGCGAUUCCUGCUGUGUUUGUCAUCGUUCCUCUUGGCCUGCUUUUCAUCCUCUCCGGCCUCAUCGUUAAUGUUAUUCAGGUAUUUGGAGAUUUCCCUUUUGUUUUAUUUUCCUAUAUUUAUCGUGAGUGGAAGGAAUUGCCUUUUUAUAGUUCUGGUUGAGUUGGGUUUUCAUUGUCGCAAUUAAAAGGGUUGAAUUAUUUUUGGAAUGGGUUGCAUGAGAUGUAUUUUAUGAUGUGGAGUUGAUCUUUCCACAAUCCUGAUAUAUUGGACUUUAAUUCUUUUUUAUUUCUGAUUUGCAAAUUAGUUUUAAAUCUAGAUUGUUUUCUUUGAUUCUAUAGCUGCUUUUCGCACCUACUGUAAUUGAAAAUGGAGAUGAUUGAAAACAAGAAAAAUUUAACCGAAAUCAUUAUCAAACUAUGUUUCAAGAUGUUUGUAGUUUGUUGAUCUUGUAAUCCAGAGUGUGUUUUACUACUAAAAAUCAAAGAUAUACAUGCCACUGGGAUUAUAUGAAUAAGAUGGACUUAAAUAUUUUCCCUCCUGUAAGCUGUAGCUUUUUAUUUUUAUUUUUAUUUUUAUUUGUCAUUGAUAUUCUUAUUCUUCUUAUUAUUGUUUCGAGUAUAAUACUUAUUGGGAUGGAGAUUGAACCUUUCACCUCUAGGAAUGACAGGUAAUGUCAAUUUGGUGAAGCUGCAGUGUUUAGUUAUUUGUUGUGAAUUUAAUAUUUUAGAUAUUUGUAUUUGUUCGCAACUCAGUCUUGUACUUCUCUUUUACUCCUUUAGGAACUGUAGCUUGGGUUUAUUAAGUCCGGGGUUUUAAGCGGGUGCUUAGAUUGUGGAAAAAAUAUUUGUUAAGCCUUUGUUUGGAUUGCAUGGGGAGAAUAUGCUUGUUAAGCCUGUAUUUGGUUUCUAUAUUUUCGAACCCUUAACUUAACUGGAUGUAUAUGUAUAAUUGUUUCAUGUAAUUCAUGAAUUGAACUUUCAGGCGUUUAUCUUUGUUCUUGUUCGACCCAUUUCAAAGUGUUUGUACAGAAGAAUCAACAAAGUAGUUGCUGAAUUGCUAUGGUUGGAACUCAUUUGGCUAAUCGAUUGGUGGGCAGAAGCAAAGGUGUCACGGUUUCUUUAAAAUAUGUUUGGUUCUUAACAUGCAUCUCUUUGCUAUUUGAUACAAGUAUGAUACUAGUUACCCUUUUUCCCCCAAAUAGUUACUUUUUUGUGGUAAACUUCUAAGAUGUGAACUUUUUGUUUGAAAUGGAAACGACUCUUUUCAUUGAAGAGGUGAAAAGUAACUAAUGCUCAAAAUAGAAGAUACCAAUUACCAAAUAAAGUACCAAAUGUAGAACCAACCGAAUCAAGCUCAAAGAUAAAGUGUUUAAAUAAAUUACAAACACAAGCAAAAACAUUAGGCUGGAAAACUAAUUUCACUCCAAUUUAAGCAUAGAUCUUGGAUGGAAAAACUGACAAAAGACUUCUGGGAGGAAGUGUUAAUCCAAGCAAGAUAUUUAUCGUGAAAGAUCCUUUAGUUUCUUUUGAACCAAAUUUCUUCAAACAAUGCUUUAACCACAUUAGACUAAAUCAACCAAGGAGAAGGCUUCAAAACUGGACUAACCAAAAUCUGCACCACAUUAUCUCUAAAAUCAUCACCAAACACCCACCUGAAUUUGAAUAAAGAGAGUGCCGCCAACAAUGAUUUGUAUGAGGUUCUGUACACCUUCAUUUUCAGCCUAAGAAAGAGGACACUUCUGAGGUAUGAACUUGAACAACUAAUAUUAAUACAGAUAGAGAUAAAAAGAGAAUUUUCCUAAUUAGGCCAUUUAAUAUAAGUUGAGUUUGCUUAGGUAACUUGUUUUUUCUCAUUACAGGUUGAGGUGUAUACAGAUCAAGCAACCUUCCAAUUAAUGGGUAUGCUAUUAGAAAUUAGAUGUCGAAAAUUUAUGAGUUGCAAAUAGAACCUAAUCAAGUACAUACAAAUUUACAGGCAAAGAACAUGCACUUGUUUUAUGCAAUCACCGUAGUGACAUUGACUGGCUAGUUGGAUGGGUCCUAGCUCAGGUACUUUAAAUGUGUGGCCAUCAGUUUUUGAAUAUUUUCUUUCUUCACCCUUAUGACUGUAUUCUAUGUUAAGAUCAAGAUCAUAUCGUAGAUUAGGCCAAAUCUAUUAUAUCCUUUUUCUUCAAUUAUUUCAAAAUAUACGCUUUGUAUUGCAGCGUGCAGGUUGUCUUGGUAGUGCCUUAGCCAUAAUGAAGAAAGAGGCAAAAUUCCUUCCAGUAAGUAUUAACUGUAUGGUGUUAUUUGCAUUAAAUGAAUCUGUAAGCCAACCUUUGUGUUUCUUUAAGCUGCAUUAUCCAUAAGGGCUCACUUUAUGAGUUGCAGCCAGUCAUUUUGUGAAUGAACAGAUUGCAUGGGAAUCGUAGAGUAAAAGUUAAGCGCGUUCGUAUCAUGAAAGUUCUAGAAAUAAUAAGAAAAAUCCUGGUUGUUCAUUACUCUAGGAUUGUUCAAAUCAAAAUCUCAUUGUCUUUUAAGAAUGCAUCCUUCCCAUUUCAUUUUGAUUACAAUUCUAAAUGGUAUUACAUUCCCAUUAUGCCUAUUUACUUGGUGGACCCCAAGAAUCUAUUUUUAUGGGGCUAAAUUUUCACAUGAAAACCUAAACUUCUAAACUCUCACAUCCCUCCUCAUCCAUUAUUCCACUUUAAAUAAUGGCUGCAUAAAAAUUUUCCUACUUUUGUCUGAAGCACAAAUAUCAAAUGAGCAUAACUCAACAGUAAUUGGUAUGAACUCCUCUCCUUAGGUCAGAGUUUCAGAUUUCCGUACUCCUACUUGUUGUACUUGUAAAAAAACACCACUGAUGUCACUAUUUCCAAGAGUGUAGUUGUCAAUGUUGGGAUUCUGAGUUUGUUCAUAAUCUCUCUGUUCUACCAGUCGACUUUCUCUAAGAAUUUAUCUACUAAUUGGCAAAAGAUAUCAUGCUACUGUUGCAGGUCAUUGGCUGGUCAAUGUGGUUUUCUGAUUAUAUCUUUUUAGAAAGAAGCUGGGCCAAGGAUGAAAGCACUCUGGAGGUGAGCUCAUAUAAUUGCAAUAGUAGUUACUUUAGUGUUUUUGUCUCAACCUUUCCCUUUCCUUUCCAACAUUGGAGGAUUUUAUUGCAGUCAAGUUUUCAGUCGCUCAUGGAUUUUUCCAUGCCAUUUUGGUUGGCACUUUUUGUUGAGGGAACUCGUUUUACACAACAAAAGCUCCUAGCUUCUCAGGAAUAUGCUGCAGCUAGAGGAUUGCCUGUCCCUAAAAAUGUUUUAAUUCCUCGAACAAAGGUAAAUUGAAUGUUCUUCUAUUACAGCUAGGAUAAAACACACCAUGCCUAUCAUUUUCCUUAUUAUCAGCCUGUUAUUUUCAGGGUUUUGUUUCUGCAGUGAGUCAUAUGCGCUCGUUUGUUCCGGCUAUUUAUGAUUGUACAGUGGCCACUUCUCCAAAAGACCGCCCUCCUACAUUGUUGAGGAUAUUUAGAGGCCAAUCUUUUGUGGUACGCCAACUAACCGUUGAAGAAUACAAUUAUUGACUGGUUGAUUGUCCAUGUAACAUUUCUUACACACUUGCAUUGUUUCUCUCAUCAUUUACUAGUUCAAGAUAAUGCUUAUCAAUCUUCAUCACCUAUAAAUUCAUCUGUUUCAUGACUGAAUGUCUCUGCUCCUUUGAGGUUUAUGUUAUGUUAGUUUGUGCUAAUAUAUAUGUACGGUGCUCUCCAUUCAAUUAGAAGUCUAUCAGUUCCUGAAUCUUGGACAUGGCUGGAGGAAACUUCUUUAAUUUGAUCUGUGUAAUUGAGCAUUAAAGAUUCUUAGCAAGUGAAUAAAAUUUUGAGAUAAAUGAUGGUUUGUGUCAUCAACCGUGUCUUAACUUAAAAUGAACUGGGUUAGUUAUGUAACUUAUGUUGGUGCUAGAAUAAGAACAUAUUAACCUUGAUACCAUGGUUGUAAUCAAUCCUUAGUUGUGUAUGAACUGAUAGGUUUUGUAUAUUCUAUAAUAAAUAAAAAUUAUACAUCUAAGAUGUGCCCAUUGUACAGGUAAAAGUGCAAGUCAAGCGACACGAAAUGCAGGAAUUACCAGAAACUGCAGACGGGAUCUCACAAUGGUGUAAAGAUCUAUUUGUUACCAAGGUAUGGGGGAUACUUGCGAAGUUUAUAACAUAUUACCAUUGCCAAGAGGAAAAUGUUGGAAUCUUUUGUAUUUAAUCAUUAAUCUCUUUUGAUGGCAUGAUCGAUUGAUGGUAUUAUAUCCAAUAUCAUGUCACCUUCAGUUUGUAGCACAGAAGUAAUUUAUUUCAUAGGAACCUGAAUUGCACCGCACUCUACUACCUAGUUUUUGGAUGUCUAUAAAAGCUUUAAUCUGAUGAGCUAUUAGCUUCUUUUAUUAACAAUCUAUUAUUUGAUAAGGUCCAUUUGGAAACAAUUUCAUUUUUAGUUUCUUUGUUUUUAAAAUUUAUGUUUGUUUUUUAACAAUUACUCUUUUUUGGUUUUCACUUUGUCUUAAUUGAUAUUUGACCUCUUAGUCCAAUUCUAAAAACAAAAAUCAAUUUUUGAAAUACUUGUUAGUUUUAAAAACUCGGCAUGGUUUUUGAAAGCAUGAGCAGAAAGUGGAUAACAAAAUAUAGAAACUUAUGCAUAGAAGUUGUGAUUAAGCUUAAUUUUCAAAAUUCAAUUACUAAAAACAGUUUUUGGUUAAUUGGAAACUAAGCCUAUAACUCCUCCUUCUGCCUCUAGGUUUCUCUGCAAUGUUAUCUAUUUUCUGCCAAUGUUUUUUUUUAUAAAAAAACAAUCCAAGUUUUGAAAACUAAAAAAGAGUAGUUUUUAAUUUUAAAAUCUUGACUUAGCUUUUGAAAACAUAGAAGAAAGUGGCAACAUAACAUAAUUCCGUAGGGAUACAAGUAAAGUUUGUAAGUUUAAUCUUCAAAAACCAAAAAUAAAAAACCAAAUGGUUAUUAGAUAGGGCCUUAGUUACUUAUUUGUUUGGUUUGGUUGAAGUCAGUAGCUGAAAUAAGUAUGCAACUGAACAUACUUUCAGUUUUCUUCUAUACUUUCCAACUUUUCUUGCAUUUUGUCUCUACUUGCCUAUGUCUCUUUCUUAACUUGAACUUUGUGCAUUUCCCAUUAAAAUCACAAUUCCAAUCUCUCCCUGUUAUUUAUUUCUUUGGGAAACUUUUCAGGAUACAUUAUUGGAGAAGUAUAUGAUCAAGGAUUCAUUCAGUGAAAAACAACCUAUUGAUAUAGGCCGACCAAAAAAGUCGUUAUUGGUUUGUUUGCUUGACAUUAAGACUGAGAAACCACCACAAACACACGUGACACGUCCUAUUUGCACUUUCCUCUCUCCAUAUCGAACUCAGAUCUUUCUUCUUGUCAACAGGUUGUUCUUUGUUGGUCAUGCAUCUUGGCUUAUGGCAUUGUUAAAUUCUUCCAGUGGUCUGCUCUCCUAUCCUCAUGGGAGGGCAUUGCACUCUCAGCAGGCCUCUUGAUUCUUAUAAUCCUUGUUAUGCAACUGCUCGUUCAUUCUUCCGAGUCGACCCGUUCUACACCUAUAAUUGUAUCGUCUCAGGAUACCACCAAGGAACGAUUACUUCAGAAAUGAGAUAUCAUCAUCAACAUACUCAAUUCAUUAUUCAUUCCAUUCUUUGUCCAAUUUAGCAAUUCUUUCAGCUGAAGUGUAGAAAUUGUGUCCGUCUAAAGCAUUAUUCAACUCCCUUUCAGGCACCUGCAUUUGUGUGUAGGUAGGGGUGUUAGAAUUUAUUGUUUGUAUAGCUAACAACAAAAGUUUUUUUGACCACAUAAGUAAUGAAUUAUUUGGCCUAUUUGUGUAAGUUCGAUUCUAUCCCAUUAUUUUCACUUCAAUGAAAAAUACUCCUUUACUGAAGAGGCCAGGUUUUUAACUCUCUUAUAUAUUACAUCUAUGUGUAUAUCAUUUUAUUUUGCUUUAAAUAUCAUACUUUAGCUUCUGUAAUUUGGUUCAUUACGGUUCUUAUUCGAUUUAUUUUUGUUUUUGUACUUUAAAAAUGGACUAUUUUGGUACUUUAAUUUUAAUUUUAUUUUAUUUUAAAGAUUAAAAUAAUCACUUUUUGAAAGUUGAAGAAUCAAAUUGAACAAAACUUGAAAAUACAACGACUCGAAACCAAAUGAACUAAAGUGAAUCAAAAUCGAAAGUAUAGGAACUAAACUAGUUUUUUAACUUUUUAUUUUUUAACAAGAUUAUAGUGUCGUUGAAAUUUGUUUUUCUUAGAUUUUAGAUUGGGAUAUUAUCAAAUAUAACAAAAAAGAAAAAAAAAUUGAAAGACAUGUAACAAAAAUGAAUCAAAAUUUUCUAAUGAAUAAGUAAGAAUGAAAGACUUCUUGGUUCUUAUGUAUGUACAAAUAUCAGUUCAAUUAAGUUGUUGUUGGCUGCAUUUUGUUUUUUUUUUCAACAAUGCAAAACUAUAUACCUUCUUAGCUACAUCCAACUAUUUUCUCUAUAGUUAUUGCCAAAUCUGUAUAUUCUUUCAAACAUGUUUGAUAUAUAUUAUAAAAUAGCUAUAUCAAGUGAAUAGUACAAAAUUGGUGUAUUAGAAAUACGAUAGUUUAUUAUUAUUAUCAUUAUAACUCUUGAUUUACCCAUUUUUGUAAUUGAUCUUCUUAUAGUUUCCAACCUAAGUGUACAAUAACUCUUUUGAAAGUCUACCCUAAUUUGGUUUUGUUGUUAGAAUUUUCUUCAACGAAUUAAUUAAAGCUAACUCCCUAAAAGGACUUUUCUUCAACAACAUUUCUUCAAGUACUAUUUGCUUUAAUUUGGUCCUCUCCCCUUCCUCAGUCAAACUCAAAUCCUUCCAUUUUUCAAACACAGAUUUUUUUUAAUUUGGUUAGGAAAAACGCAAAAGUAUUGUUUGACCUAAAUGAUGAAUAUAUUGCAAAAUACCAUACCAUACCCUAACACUUUUACAAGUAAUAGUAAGUCUUCAAACCAUAUUGUGUCUACAACUUUUUUUUAAUUAAAAAAAAUUAGAAGGCAUUCUCGUGUAAUAUGUUUAACCAAGUAAAUCGUCUUGGAACGUAGUCCAAGUCACGUAGGUCAAAAUCAUUAACAUGGUCGGUCCACUACAUUUUGGUUAAGUGAUUAAUCGAAAACAUAUAUCAAUCAUAUUUAACAAUAAAAUAAAUAGAAAAUAGAUCUUUUAUCAUAAUUUAUUUAGCUAAAUAAUUAUUUCUCAAAUACAAAUAGUAAUUUGAUAAACUAUAAAUUAACUUUUUUGGAUGGUCAAAGAAACCAAUGAAUUGAAAUUUUUUGCUUUGUUAUGGUUAAUUACUUGAACAUAAGGUAAUAUGAUUUAGUGUAAGCUUUGAUGUCAUCAAUUGAAAAAUGGUCCACUUAGUCAAUAUUAUCAAUUAAAAAGACUAUGAUUAAAUUAGUAUAUUGUGUUGGGAACUUCAAUUCUAUUAUGAUUUCCAUUAAGAUUAAGAAGACAAUUUGAAGAUUAUGAUUAUGCAUUCAUUGUAUUAAUGAACGUUUAAGAAAUCCCCACUCCAUCGUACAUAAAGGUUAGAUUCAUAGAAUUUCCAAGCUCAAAUAGGGUUAUUUGGAAAAAAAAUGCCAUAAAAAAUAAUAAUUCAUUAUACAUUAAUCAACAAAUGAUGAAUUUUUAGGUCACCUCAAGUAUAUUAUUAUUGCUUCAUUAAAAAAAAUGUUUUAAAAUCCCCAUACAAUCAUUUGUAUAUAUAUAAAAAAUUGAAUGCUAAAAUUGUUAUAAUAUUUACAACAAAAAGCUAGUUGUUAUACCGUACGUUAUUAUAAUUACUUUUGGAGUGUAGAUUAUUUUAGUUAGAGUUACACUUAAAUUGAAUGUGUUUGAAGUGUGAACUAAUUUAGUUUGAAAAGAAAAUAAUAAACACACCAAGAAAGAACGCAAAAAAGAAAAAAAAAGAAAAAUGUAAAAUAGUAAAAACGGUAGCAAAUAGUAAAUAUUUUAGUAAGUUAAAGGUAGAACGGUGUAUAAAUGAAAUGUUAUAUGAUUUUACUGUGUGAAAAUGAAAAUUUUCAAAUAACAUAAUCAAAAUUGGUAUGCCGUAUUUACUUUUUAAUAUUUGUCAUAUCAUACCAGUAGGAGGGAAAAUCAACUUAUAGGAAGUUAAGAUUUUGAUGUUUUCAAAAUUUGUACACAAUUUAUAGACAACGUCGCUUAGAAGUAAACAUUUCUAGUGGUUAAUUGUUAGGUCAAUUUGACUGAAAAGAAUAGAUUUAAAAAUAGAGAUAGUUGCAAAUAUAGUAAUUAGAUUUAAAAUAAUUAAGUAUAUAACAACAUUUUAAAAAAAUUGCAAGUAUAGUAAAAUAUGUCAAAGUCUAUCUAUGAUAGAUUCUAUCGUUGAUAAACUAUGUUGCAAAUAUUAGUCUAUCAUUGAUAGACUAAUAGAAGUAUAUUGCAGAUAGAUUUUACUACAUUUGCAACUUUUUAAAAAUGUUGCUAUAUAUUUAAUUAUUAUUUCUAAAAUCGCCACCAAAUUAUAAUUACCCUUAAAAAUGAAGAAAAAGGAAAAUGAAACCAAGGCAAACUCCAUCAAUCACCUCUAAGCUCGAGGAGCCCCAACUUGAACAUGAGACAUGACCAAAAUGCUCUAUAGGUCAACAAAUCCACAAAAUAUCUAAUUUAAUUAAUUGAUAAGCGGAUUUCUAAAGAAGACAACAAAAGGCUCACGUUAAACACACGAUAAUAAAUACAUCAUUGUAUUAUAACUUCUAAAGUGGUAUAUUGAAUCUUACCUCAAACUUCCUACCUUCCACACUCUUCUACUUUCAAACUUAAGCAACUGUGUGGGACAAAAGUGGUGUGGGUAUUUACUUUUUUACAUUCCCUUUGAACAAAUUGAUUGUUGAAUGACAGUAAAAGAUUGUAAAGAGAAACAAGAGAAGAGAAAUAUGAAGAUGAAAUAAAAUAUUGAUGCAACCAAAAUGGAAAAGAAUUGAUGAGUAUUACUUUUGAUAGUUUUAGUUGAAGCACAAAAAAGUCCAAAAAGUAGUUGCAAAAUGUGACCAAAGGAGGAAGAAUUUUUCUUUAUCCACAUUUUACUUUGCAUAAAGGUUGGAACUUUGGAAUGGAAAAGUCCAAAAAGUCCAACUAUACAUGUGUUCAACAAUAAUAUACUUACCCUUCCUAUUAAUUCAACCCCACAUUUAUUUUGGCUUUCCUUUCAACUUUAAACUUAAUAUACAUAAACAAAUCCCAACUUGUUCUUUAUACUCUUCAUUUCCAACAUUUUCAAAACUAAACAAAAACCAAUAUAACAAACCCCUCUUCGAGGAUUCAUAACCAAAGCAAUGUUUAAAUAUUUAAACCCGUCUUUUCAACCAUACUUUUUCAAUUCAAAUCAAUCUUUGAUGCGUCUUCUUUCAUCUCACUACUUUGACAAUCUAUUUUGAUUUCAUGUGUUUAUAAAACAUGCAUAAUUAUUAUAUCUUAUAAACAUGUUUUUAUUUGUUUUUUAAAUCAUUCGAGAAAAAAUUAGAUAAGAAAGGAUAGAAAUGUUAUAUGGGAGGUGAAAGUAAUUUGUGUAAAUUUAAUUUUGAAAAGCAAAUACUUAAAAAGCAAAACCUUUGAAAUUACCAAAUUGGGUCAUACUUAUUUACCCUUUUUGUAAAAUAUUAUUGUGUAUACAUUAAAUAUUUCAACUAUUAUAUUUAUACUUGAAAUAAAAUGUGCAAUAAUAGAAUGGGUGAGAUGUUAUAAUUUCAUUUUUGUAUUUUUGAAACAAAAAGGCUAUAAAUAUAUAUACAUUAUUUUAAUUAGUACUUUCAGCAAUAAUUAGUACUUUGUUUUUGUCUCAUUCAGUUUAUAUUAUUUACUAUUAAUUUUCUAUUAGUUAUUCUAAAACAAUAAAUUAAAUUAAUGAAAAAUGGUAAAAAGAAAAAAUAGAACAUUUUGACCAAACAUUUACUAUUUGAAAAUUUUAUUUAAUUAAUUAUAUAUAUAUUUUAAAAUAUAUUAAAUAUAGUAAAAUCUAUUAAAUUCUUUAUAAAUCAUUUAAUUUUUUUUCUUUUCUUAGCUACCAUUUCUCUAUUUUCUUGACAUUUUAUCACUUAAAAUAGUUAUCUUUAGUUUUUAUUAAAUUUUUACUAUGGUCAAAGAUAAUGCAUAUCAUAAUAAUUUCAAAAGUUAGGAUGAAAACGAGUUUUCGAUAAGUUUUGUGAAUGGAGACAAUUUAUCUAAUUUUAAAAAUAUUUAUGAGUAUCUAAUUUAUGGAGUUUGUCUCUAUUUUGGAUGAUUUUCCUCUUCUUUCAAAAGAUUUUUGAAUUUUAAUCUAUGAACAUCAAAAGUUAGUUUGUGAAAAGAUUUAGAAAUUUGAAGAAGAAAAUAAGAAGUAAACUCCUGAUUUAGUAAUGUAAAUAUAACAUUAUGAAAAUGAGAGAUAAUAUAAAAGGCAAUUUAGAAUUUGAGGGAGAAGCCAUUGCAUUUUUUUAAUUCAAUGAUUUAACCUAAGGUUAAGAACUUGCAACCCAUCCUUGAAAAAACCCAAUCCGAAAGAUAAAUUAUUUGGAGAAAUACCCAUUGAUUGGGAAAGGAAGAGAAAAAGGAAGAGGUUUCUCUCUUCAUUUGAAUCAAGGAGAGAGAAUUUGGAAUUGAGAGAGAGACUCACACACAGAGAGGAGAAGGGUCUCUGCAAAUUGAGCUUUGACCUUCUCUCUCUCAGAGAACCCAUGGUGUUUUCACACUUUUGAUUCACUUUCCCCCCCCCCCCCCCCCCCCCCCACCCACUCCUUUCUUUAACCUUCCCUUUGAAAUAACUCUCUCAAUCUCCUCUUUCCUCCAGUUCUUCAACAGAUUCACACAAGACCCAUUUUGAUUUCUGGGUGUUUUCCAACAGAUUUUGAUCUGGAUUUUAAUUUCAGGUGAGCCCUCUGGGAUUUCUCUGUUUUUUUUUUCUCUGUUUAUUUGGGUUUUCUUAUCUUUUUCUUUUUUGCUUGUUUCCCUCUUUCUCUUUGGUUUGGUCCAUGACAAGACUAUCCUUUCUCGCUUUUGGAUAAUUUUGGGAGAUAUUUGCGUUUCUUCUUGUUUUUUCUUCUCCGUUCCUAUGAAUCUUUUUCUUGUUUCUUUCUAACGUAUUGCUUUCAAAUAUCUUCUUUUAAAAAUCUCGAUUCCCCUUUUUCUGUCUUAAUCGUUGCCCUGUUUUUGUAACAUCGAGAUCUGUUUCCCCUUUUUCUCUUUAUUCGGUGUUGUUAGGAUUUCUGAAGAACAAAAGAAAAAUUAGACCCUCUGAAAGCUCGAGGAUCAGAUUUGAUUCAUGGGGAAUUGCUGUGCUACUCCGGCUACUCCUUCAGGGAAGCAGCACAAGGGGAAGAACAAGAAGCAGAACCCAUUUGCAGCUGAUUAUGUAGUGAGCAAUGGCAAUGGUGGUGGGAACUGGGUGUUGAAAGAUCCAACGGGCCGAGACAUUUCUGCCUUGUAUGAUCUGGGAAGCGAGCUUGGAAGAGGUGAAUUUGGAGUAACGUAUUUGUGUACCGAUAGAAACACUGGAGAGAAACUUGCUUGUAAAUCGAUAUCGAAAAAGAAGCUGAGGACUGCUGUGGAUAUUGACGAUGUGAGGAGAGAAGUUGAAAUUAUGAAGAAUUUGCCUAAGCAUCCGAAUAUUGUGUCAUUGAGAGAUACUUAUGAGGAUGAACAGGCUGUUCAUAUUGUUAUGGAGCUUUGUGAAGGUGGGGAGUUGUUUGAUAGGAUUGUUGCGAGGGGUCAUUACACCGAAAGAGCUGCUGCAGUUGUCAUGCGGACCAUUGUUGAAGUUGUGCAGGUGAAACAUCAUUUUUAUGAGUUGUUAUUGUUAUUGUUGGAUCUUUAUGCUUUCCAAAUUUGUGGUUCUUGUUGUUCUUUGUUUGGAAGGGUGACGAUAAGGUUGUGUGUCUUGGUGAGCUUGAGUUGUUUCAAUGGUUCCUGAUAAAAGAUUCUUUUGAUUGUUUGAUUUCAUUAUGACUUAGGUUACAGUUACUAACGUGGUCACUGAACUUUGGUAGAUGUGUUAUUAGUUUUCUGAACUGCAGAAAGCUCUAUUUUAUGUCACAAACUUUGAAUUUUAAUUAUUUAUAGUUGUUCACUAAAUGAUAACAUAGAUAUAUUUAUUGGAAACAUAUUGGUUUAUUAGAAUUACGCUUCGAAUUGAAAAAUGUGGGAUACCCUCACCCUAAAGCACUGUAUGAAUCACUCUAGAGACCAUGCCACUUUAUUUUAUUGCAUUGUUUACUUUCUUAUGUUAUUUUCCUUCCACAUCAGCUCAAACAAGCUAAUAUUUAUCUAAUGGGUAUUCUACAAAACUAUUUUGAUUAAUGGUGCUAAUAGAAAAGUCACAUGUAGUCACAAUUUAAGUUAGGAGAUAUAGUAGUAGCUUUUUUAAGUUUACAAACUAAGUGGACAAAACCAUACAAGGUUAUUGACUAAGUUUGUAAUUUAACUGAUAACUUAUUUUUAGUAUUUGGUGACAAUGUUUCCAUCUGUGUUGAGAUUAAUGAGAAGUAAUAUGAUUCACUCAUACAUUUAAAUGCAUUUUGUUGUGCAGAUGUGUCAUAAAAACGGUGUUAUGCAUCGCGAUCUCAAGCCAGAGAACUUCCUUUUUGGAAAUAAGAAAGAAACGGCUCCAUUAAAGGCAAUUGAUUUUGGGUUAUCAGUGUUCUUCAAACCUGGUAUUAUUCUAGAUUCAUUCACCAUAACUGCUUUUGACCUUUCCAAUAUAUAGUUGUUUUUGUGAAUGCAUCUUUUCCCCUCUUCUUCGUAAACAUUUGCAAGUUUAGUAUAACAAAUAUGCAAUUCUCUUAGGUGAGCGGUUUAAUGAAAUCGUUGGAAGUCCGUAUUACAUGGCUCCAGAGGUCCUGAAAAGGAACUAUGGUCCGGAAGUUGAUGUUUGGAGUGCUGGGGUCAUUCUCUAUAUUUUACUUUGUGGUGUCCCACCUUUUUGGGCAGGUUUGUGACUCUUAACUUCGUUUGUUUUUUUUUUUCCACUUAAGGAAUGGAGUUAAAAAAGAACCUUUAAUUCAACUAAUAUUGGUUGAAGCCAAACUCAAAUCAGUCUCAAUUCCUUUGUGUUCUAUUUUGCCUGAUUAUGAUCCAUAUCAUAUGAAUAUCGAUGCAUAUGAAAAUUCUUGUGAUCCAUAGCAUAAGAACAUCAUGGCCCUUCAGGGACAUCUGAUAGCAUAAGAACAUCACGUGCGUAAAAUUUCUUGUGAUCCAUAUCAUAAGAACGUCACGUAUAUGAAGAUUCUGCUUUUUGCUUUUUUCUUUUCGGUUAAAUCAUCUUCAUAUUUUGCAUGCAGAAACCGAACAGGGGGUGGCACAGGCUAUCAUCCGAUCAGUAAUUGAUUUCAAGAGGGACCCUUGGCCUAUAGUGUCUGACAAUGCGAAGGAUCUUGUGAAGAAAAUGCUUGAUCCCGACCCCAAAAAGCGACUCACUGCUCAAGAAGUUCUUGGUAUUAGUUUUAUUCUGUUACAGAAGAUUAUGUAGGUUUUUCAAUUCAGUGCUUUAUUAUGAAAUGAUUUUCUCAUUUCGUUCUAUUCACAUGUAGAACAUCCGUGGUUACAAAAUGCCAAAAAGGCACCAAAUGUUUCAUUGGGUGAGACUGUGAAAGCAAGGCUAAAGCAGUUUUCUGUUAUGAACAAGCUGAAGAAAAGAGCUCUACGGGUAAUAAUAUCUUGAAUACAAACAACACUUCACAAUGGUUUUGGUAGUUCUUGCCGAAUAUUUAAUCCCGAAUGAAGCUUGAUGUCUCAAAAUUUGAAUUAUAUUGUAUUGUAGGUUAUUGCUGAGCAUUUAUCAGUUGAGGAAGUGGCUGGAAUCAAAGAGGCAUUUGAAAUGAUGGAUACUGGCAAAAGAGGGAAGAUAAACCUUGACGAGCUUCGCGUUGGACUACAAAAACUAGGCCAGCAGAUUCCUGACCCUGAUCUUCAGAUACUUGUUGAAGCUGUAAGCAUUCUUCUUUGUCUAACCCAUUCCGUAUAUUGGCCACUGUCUUCAAAAUCAUAUAUAACUACAGAUCUGGGUCUGAUUACUCUUUAAGGCUUGAACUCCUGCUCUGUACAAUCGAUCAUCAUCUUAGUUUAAAGAGCUUAAUGCUCCGACUUUCUUACUUGUAUGGACAAAAAUGUCUAAAAAAGUAAAGAAGCAAUGUAACUGCUGAUUUUUUUUUAAAAAAAUGAGUUUAACAUGUUUUGACACACGAACUCUGCCCAUGGUAGCUCCAUCGGCAUCUUGUUUGCAUUGUUGUAAAACAUGGCAACUGGAAGCUUUUGGUUAUAUUGUUGAACUGAGAAAAGUGUUAACUCAUGACAGGCUGAUCUUGACGGUGAUGGAACAUUGAAUUAUUCAGAGUUCGUGGCUGUUUCUGUCCAUCUUAAGAAGAUGGCCAAUGAUGAACACCUACACAAAGCUUUUUCAUUCUUUGAUAAAAACCAGAGCGGCUACAUAGAGAUUGAAGAGCUAAGAAAUGCACUUAAUGACGAUGACGAGACUAACGGUGAGGACGUUGUCAAUGCCAUAAUGCACGACGUGGACACAGACAAGGUCCGUUUUUGUUCCAUACAUAAUAGGGGUUGAAAUAUCUCAAAACCACACUACAGUGGGCCUAGCAGCAUUGUUUUGUAUAUAGUUGAUCUUUAACGCACACAUGUAAUGUUUUCCAUUUCAUUACUUCAGGAUGGGCGCAUAAGCUACGAGGAGUUUGCAGCUAUGAUGAAGGCGGGUACAGAUUGGAGAAAAGCGUCGAGACAAUACUCACGAGAAAGAUUUAACAGUCUGAGUUUAAAGUUAAUGAGAGAUGGAUCAUUACAUCUAACUAACGAAGCUAGAUGAAUCACAAACCUUGGAAGCUGAUUUAUUUUGUGGAUUUGGAUGGAUAGAUACCGGGAAGAAAUUACUCUGAAAUUUUUUCUUUUUUCUUUCCCCAACUUGAAUAUGUUUUACUUGGUUAGAACAGACAUUUUGGGAUAGCCAGAAUUAGAAUGGAGGUCUAAAAAGGGUCUCUUGAAAUAUUUAUUUUUAUCUUUAGGGUGUCUGUUUUGGGGUAGUUGAUAUCAGAGAAGACCACCAAGUUGUAGAGAGGGAGAGAGAGAGAGGGGGGGUAAAAAAGAACAAGAACAUAGUGCUGGUUGAGGACCUCAAAAGUGUGUGAUUGUGUGUACAUAAUCAAUCAAUUAGGCCAACAAGUGAUUUCAUUUACUGUUGCAAUGUAAGAAUUUGGUUGAAUCUUACUCUUACAUUUAAUUUUUUAUUUUUCAACGUCUUUUGGGUUGUUGGAUUAGCACAACAUUUGUCAACUUCCAAACAGUAUUUCUUUUGCCCUCUCCUUUUUUACCUUGGGUUGUUUGAAGAAGGAUUUGUUAAAUCUGAGUUUAAAAAAAUAAACCCAGCCUUUAACAAUAAUUGUAUUGCUAAUUUUAGGUUAGUCAAGAUGUAUAAUUUUGAUCUUCACAACUCUAAUUUCUUGUGUCAAACAUGCAGUUGGUUGUAUGAUAAUGUCAUCCCAUCUCGAUGUUUAUAUCAACUCUCAUUUAGCUAAGUUGUACCAUCUCAAUCUCCAUAAAAAUAUAAUAACAUCAAUAUAAUUAUUAAAGACAAUUUGACUCAAUUGAAAAGACAAAGCUCUAGAAUAAUGAAGUUUUCAGUUUAAAUUUGGUUUGAAUUUUGUAUUAACCCUUUAUUCAUAUAUAUAUAUAUAUAUUAAUAACAUAUUAGGAAGGAAUGGUAUAUAUUUCAUACUAAAUUAAUAACAAUUAAUAAUUCGUAAAAUUAAUACAAUUUUUUAGAUAACUCCAUCGCUCUUUUUUCACUUUAUAAGCAUGCCACUUAAUUUGGGGAGUUUGAAAAAUAGCAAAAGAAAAAUUUAUAAUAAUAUGUCUUAUGUCAUGAAUUGUAAAAGUAGCAAAUUUAAAAGCGGAUAGUCCUAUGAUAAUCUUUUCAUAACUCUCUAAUUGUUAUUUGAUAGUUGUAUGAUAUCAUUAAUUACAUGUCAUAUUUGUCAUAUUUGCAUUAUGCAAAAAAGAUGUACUAUGAACUGUUUUUUUUUUUUUUUUUUUUGUCAUCUAAUACAAUUUUUCUUUAAAUUUAGAAAAAAGUAUAUUGAAAUGUCAAAAUUUAAGUUUGGUAGUAUGUGGUGAUUAGGGAACACAAUCACGAGAGAAGGUUAAAGUUGCGCUUUUGUAUAUUUAUUUGAGAACGUAUAAAUCAGUUGAGACCAAUUCUUCAAAAUACUAGAAAAUGAACAAUGAAAAUGGCAUAAUAUCUAUCGAUGAAGAAACAAACAUAAAAGAAAAAAAGCAACUGCCAUGAUCACCAAUUUCUCAGGAUGAUAUAUUCUCUUAUGUCUUAGCAGGGCUUGAUGUUGAAUAUAUUUUGAUUGUCUGUGAUACCGAAGGUAAGAACUCUUCAACUUGGCAUGAUGUUUAUUCAACCUUAUUAACCUUAGAAACAAAACUAGUUCGCUUGAAUAUUGUUAAUACUAAUGGAGAUUUUGGUGCAAAUUAUGUCUACAGCAGGCAAAUUAGCAAUUUGAAGAAUGAGCAACAACAUCGUUUUCUAGGUUAUAGCUCUCGAAAUCAGAACAACCCUACCUUUAACAACAAUCAAUCCCAAGGAAGAGGUAACAAUGUUAAUGAUAACACUUUUCAAAAUCGACGAGCUAGAGUUAGGUUCAAUAGUCAUAGAAGUAAUAAUUAUAAAACCACUUGUCAACUAUAUGGAAAAUUUGGUCAUAGAACUGUUGUUUGCUACCUUCGAUUUGAAGAGGAAUUUAACAAUCCAAGAGGAAACAAUAAUCAGGUGAACAAUAAUCCAACAACCUUUAUUGCUACUCCUGAAAUUGUGACGACAGAUUCAAACUGGUUGGCAGAUAGUGGAGCCAUAAACCAUAUCACCAACAAGUAUGGUAAUCCACAAUUCAAAAUAAAAUAUUUAUGGUACUAGUUAAAUUGAACUUUUGGUUUUAGUUCAUGUGGUUUACAACUAGAAUUUAGUUUUCCUCGGAUUGAUAAAAUCCUAGCUAGGAAAAUAUAGCCUCCCUACCAUAGGAACUAUUUAGGAAGGUUUUAUCAAACCAUAAAGAAUAAAUACUAUAUAUAUGAGAUUCUAUUAAGGAUUAAAUUCUAAUUUUUCAAACUACGAGUCUAAACCAUAGAGUCCAAAUUUACAAUUUAACCCCAAAAAUAGAUAUAUAAUGUGCAUUUAUAUCAAGGAAAUAAAUUAUAUAUAAUUUACAUUUACUACUAGAAAAUUGGCAUUUAACUAUGCGAAAUAUGUGUCACGAACGGUUUCGAUGACACAUAUAUUGCAUCCUUAAAGUCCAUGUAAAGAUAGGACAUUUGACGACACAACUAAAAAAUGUCGUUAAUAUUACUUAAAAGUGUCGAUAAUCAAUUUCUCUUAACUACUAACUUAAUUCCUAAUAGCUUUAUACAUUUUAUAGAAGUAUUACGGUCGUGCACGUAAUUCAAAAAACAAGUUAGCGUGAUUAGGGUUUGGAAGAGCACAUAAAGUAAGAAAUUGAAUAAAUAUUUUGUAUUAACGAAAUGGAUGUGUUAAAGGAAGUGAAGGGAAAGGCAAUAAUUAAAAGAAGAAAUGUGAGAUUUGGGGAUUUGGGGAAAGUCCAGAUUCAAUGUACCAAUGGUUUUGGUUUUGUGAGUACAAAACCAACCCCGCGCGUAGCAAUACCCUAAACCCAUACUCUAUUCAUUCAUAGAUGCCGCCGUCGAGAAUGUUACUACAAAAUCAAAUAUUAAGUUCUUAUAUAAUAUCUUAUGUAUAUUUGACUCAAUAUCUUUUCUUUUGACUCUCAAUUUUUUCUCAUCUAUUUAAUUAUUUUAAUCCUAAUAUAUACUAUAUGACCAUUUUUUUAAAAACUUUUUAACUCAUGCAUUUUUAUAUGAAUUCAACAAGUUUGGAUUUAUUAAAUUUGCCUUUCACUUUUUGGGUUAAUUUCUUUCUUUUUCUUUUUCUGGAAAAAUUUGUAUAUGAAUAUUAAUAAUUUUCUUUCAAUUUUAGAAAAGUUAAUUUAUAAUGUUUAAUCAAUAAUUUAUUAUCCCCAUUUUUUUAUUUUUGUAAAGCUCUCCUUUGUUUUAUGGUUUUCUUUUUAAAAUUUUUUAAAGUAGAAUUGUUUAAAUGAAAAUGAUUUUUUUAAAAUAUUUUUUUCUUAAUCAUUCUAAAUAAGUUCAUAAACAAUUUUUAUAAAACAAUUUUGCAUUUUACCAAAAUUCAAAACUAUUUUAUUCCUUUUUUAUUAUAUUUGGUAAGGAUUAAAAAAGAACUAUUAAGAAACAAAUAUUAUGUUAUGUUAUUUAUUAUUCUAUAUUCGUAAAUUUAUAUAUAUAUAUAGAUAGGUAGAUUAACUUGAUGUACAAAUGUACAUAUAGAAAUGUAUCACAAAACAACAAAAAGAUUGUCGCCGUCGUAAAAUCUUAAAAUUUAUUUUAUUCAAUAAUUCAAAACAUUGAGUCAAAAAUUCGUUAAUGAAAUAUAAAUCUCAUAAAUUUUAUUCAAUAAAAUGUACAUUAGUAUUUUAAAGGAAAAAUCUGCCCAAAAUGUCAAUAAAAUCUCAUAAUCGAUUAAACAUUUAUUAGUAUCGAUCUAAUUUAUAUUAGUGAUAAAAAAAAUAGAUUUAUAAAAAUAAUUUAGUAUAAAAAUCUCAUAAUCGAUUAUAUUUUGCUAUAUUUAAAAACCGUUUUUUUUUUAAAAGUAAUAAAAGUUUAGGAUGAACUUGAUAUUAAAAGAGAAAAAAAAAAAGGAAGAAGAAGAAGCGCGUGAAGGAAAUGAGAGUGGGCGUGUUGUCUUUACAAGUAUUUGAAAGGGCACCCGUGUCAGGCACGUGACCCCCUUUUGUUUUUCUUAGAAAUAAAAAUAAAUAUGAAGCAGAGAAUUUCGUUUUCGUUUUCGUUUUUCCUUUUCAAUUCCCUUUUUCUUUUUAUUAAUGUUCGUUCGUCCAUAGCCAACCAAAAUCUGAUUCUCUUCCUCUCUUCUUCUCCACUCACUCACUCUACAUUUCUCCAAUUACCCACUACCCUAAUCCCCCCUCUCAUGACGACGCCGUCGUCAUUCGCCGCCUCCACCUCCUCCGUCUUCACCGAUCCGGCGGUUCAGAUUCCUACCUUCCAUGGCCUUAAAUCCUCCACUUCCCUUGCUUUGGCAAGACAUGUCCGCCUCUUCGCCCCUUCUGCCUCCUCUUCUUCCUCUUCCCGCCCUCUGCUUGUUCGAGCCGUUUCCACGGUACAACCCAUCUCCCCCCCUUUUCUUCUCUGUUUUCCAUUCCUGCUCUUUCUACUCAUUUUGGCGUUUUUACUGCUCUGGAUCUUUGUAUUUGUUCUAAUUGCAUGUGGGUUUGUUUUGAUUUAAUCUAUUUUUUGUUUUCCUUCUCUAACUUUGACGCUGUUCUGUUUUAGAUUCUAAUAAAUGCAGAUACGAUUUUGUUUGUUUUAUACUUUCUUUUUGGACGGUUCGACCCAGAAGGGUUAUUUCAGUUUUCUCUUGUGUUUGAUUAACUCAAUUCAAAAGAAUUUAUGUUGGGAUGUUUUCUCUUUUACCGAAUGUGGGUUCCCCUGAAUUUUUUUUAGUUGGGAAAGUGUUUGUGUUGUAAGUUAAGUUCAUCACCAAUUGCAGCAGGGUGUCGAAAGAUUUCUAUUGCUCUUCAUUUAUAAUCGAAUAUAUUCUGCUUUCUAUUUUAUUGGUUACUAAAAGUAUUUUUUGGAUGGGUUCUCUUUUUUUUUUUUACUUUCUGCUCUACUGUGGGAACACGUUGGUGGAUUAUCUUAAAAAAUAAGCUAUAUGUUUCUUUCAUUGAUUGCAUUUGUCUGUAUUUUUAACCAUUCCACGGAAUAAAGCAUGUUUGAGAGAUUUUUAAAAUCACUUUUAUCCUGUUUAAAAUUACUUUGAUCUCAAAAUCAGUUCAAUGGUUAAUUUUACACAACAUAUUUUUUACUUUUAAAAUUAAUUUUGAAUGAUUAGAAAUAUUUUGAGUGAUUUUAAUAAUGACAAAAAUGAUUUUAACCACUUUAGAAGCACUCCAAAACAUGCUCGAAUGCUGUCAGAAAAAUUCUUUUUGAUUCAUGUAUUUUUGCUAUCUAGAGAUAUGUUUUGGAUUAGUUAGGUGAAUUUUUACUGAGCUAGGUUCUUAUUCUGUAAAAUUUAUGGCUUAAUUUGCAGCCUGCAAAGCCAGGGGUUGCUGCUGAGCCGAAGCGUAGUAAGGUUGAAAUUUUCAAAGAACAUAGUAAUUAUAUAAGAUACCCUCUUAAUGAGGAGUUGUUAACGGAUGCCCCUAACAUAAAUGAGGCUGCCACACAAUUGAUCAAAUUCCAUGGGAGCUAUCAGCAGUAUAAUAGGGAAGAGCGUGGACAGAGGUCUUAUUCAUUCAUGCUUCGUACCAAGAAUCCUUGUGGGAAAGUGUCGAACCAAUUGUACUUAACAAUGGAUGAUCUUGCUGAUCAAUUUGGAAUUGGAACACUUCGUCUAACCACCAGGCAAACAUUUCAGCUACAUGGAGUUCUCAAGAAGGAUCUGAAGACAGUAAUGAGCUCCAUUAUUAGAAGCAUGGGUUCAACCCUUGGUGCUUGUGGUGAUCUGAACAGGAAUGUUCUUGCCCCAGCUGCUCCACUUGUGAGAAAAGAUUACCUUUUUGCACAGCAAACUGCAGAAAACAUUGCUGCUUUGUUAACUCCUCAAUCAGGAUUUUAUUAUGAUAUGUGGGUAGAUGGGGAGAGAUUCAUGACAUCAGAACCGCCAGAAGUGGCGGAAGCACGUAAUGACAAUUCUCAUGGAACGAACUUUCCAGAUUCUCCUGAGCCUAUUUAUGGAACUCAAUUUCUCCCUCGAAAAUUUAAAAUUGCAGUGACUGUGCCAACAGAUAACUCUGUAGAUAUUCUGACAAACGAUAUUGGCGUUGUUGUCAUUUCUGAUGCUGAGGGGGAGCCUCGAGGAUUCAACCUAUAUGUAAGUGGGAUUCAGGUCUUACAGAGAUUAGAGAUUUGGAGUUGAUAUUAUUAUUUAUUAAUUUUUUAUUUUUGAUAAAUUUCCUUGCCCCUAUGGUUUUUUUGCUUAAUGAUCUCUGCUGCAGGUUGGAGGAGGCAUGGGAAGAACUCAUAGAGUUGAUACCACUUUCCCUCGAUUGGGAGAGCCAUUAGGGUACGUUCCAAAGGAGGAUAUUUUAUAUGCAGUUAAAGCUAUCGUAGUCACACAACGUGAAAAUGGUAGAAGAGAUGAUCGCAAAUACAGUAGACUAAAAUAUCUGAUCAGUUCGUGGGGGAUUGAAAAAUUUAGGAGUGUUGUAGAGCAAUAUUAUGGGAAGAAAUUUGAACCCUUUCGCGAAUUACCAGAGUGGAAGUUUGAAAGUUACUUGGGGUGGCAUGAACAGGUUAGUUUUUAACCCUGUAAGACAUCUACUUUUAUUAGCUUUGAUAUUUGAAUUGUAAUUUCUUUUAACUGCCGAGGUGAAGUCUCAUGUGAUCUCUUAUAUUCAGCCUGCAGUAUUCACACUGAAAUGUUCAAUUCCAGUUGGCUUAAUAUCUAAUAAUCUAUUAUCACUCUUUAGUUUUAGAUUAUCAAUCAUCUGUUAGAAUUAUUAAAACUAUAUGCAUAGUUAUUUUGAAUGAUAAUAAUUUGUUGAAGACAUGGAAGUUUUAGUUACAUUUUUUUUUCAAUCAUGAAUGUCGAACUCUUAUCUAUGUUGAAUUAGUAUCUAUUAUAAGUUGAACAAGUAUCUUCUAUAUAUAUGUUGAAUUAAAACCUGUUUUAUCUUUAUAUUUGGAUGUAUUCAUGGCAAAUGAUUUUCCAUUAGGAUUGUUGCUUAAAUGCAUCGAUUAAGCUUGAAAAUAUUAUCAUUUUAUUAAAUGUGUUUCGUAAUUAAAAAUGUCAGUUAAAGUGAUAUGGGUCCAGUUUGACAUGAGGAUAUCAUUUGGAAUUUAAUUUUCCUUUUAGGCAAUAAUGAAUGUUGAUAACAAAUAGCAUCAUGUCUUGAAAAAUAAAUACAACAGUCAGUAUUGGUAAUGUCGAACUUGUUUGUUCGGAGACAUCAGAAGCUACCAGCAAAUAAAUUAUUUCCCUUGACAGCUAGCUUUUAGUCCCUUGGACUUAAACAUUUUUUGUUCUCCUUGUUUGAGACUGUUAUCUACCUUUCAGGGGGAUGGUCACUUAUAUUGUGGACUACAUGUUGAUAGUGGUCGUAUUGCUGGGAAAAUGAAGAAGACUUUAAGAGAGGUGAUAGAGAAAUAUAAUUUGGAUGUUCGGAUUACCCCGAAUCAAAACAUUAUCUUGACCAACAUUCGCAGUGCGUGGAAGCGACCCAUUUCCACAGUUCUUGCACAAAGUGGCCUGCUGGUAAACUACUAUUCUUUGGCCCUACUUGGUGAUUGAGUUCUCUCUGUAAAUAUAAAACUUAAAUCUUCAUCUUAGCAUGAAGAUCUCAAUCGAUUUUCAUAGAAUUGAGUAGUUUCAACCCCUCAGUCCGUCUAUAAAAACAUGGCUGACGAGAUAUAGAAAGUUGCUUGUGUUGAUAAGACACCUGGUGUAAGGAUCAAUAAUAUGCAAAUGCAUAACUCAUAAUUGAUGCUGAGCUGCUGAGGCUAGGAUGGAUAUAUAGAUUUGUGGUUUAACUUGGAAGUUGAAACAAUAGAUUUGUUUUCCCCCUUCUGUUGUGAAAUAUUUUUUGUUCUUUUGCAUUUUACUUAACUCAUUUUGCUAUACAGCACCCAAGGUUUGUAGAUCCCCUUAACAUAACUGCGAUGGCAUGUCCAGCUAUGCCACUUUGUCCUUUGGCAAUAACAGAAGCUGAGAGAGGAAUUCCAGAUAUCCUUAAGCGAGUUCGAGCUGUAUUUGAAAAGGUAUAGUUUUGGUGGCCAUACACAACUACCUGAUUUUUCACACCUCGGCUCAAGAUGUGAGGAGGCUUGCCUCUAUCCUUAUUUACAUUGGGAUGAAAAUAGCUUGAUUUUAAAUUUCAUUUUCACUCCUUAUCAGUAUCAAUGUAUGCCAAUAAGCAUUGGCCUGAGAGGAUAUAAUUGAAAAUUAUUAAAGUGUAAGGGGGGACUAACUUGAAAAUUCUUAAACAAUGGGGACUAAAUUGUAAAGUUUCCCAAAUAUCAGUAACAAAAAUAUAAAUUUAGAUGAAACAUAAGUUUCACGAAAAUUUAGGCACUGAUGGCUCUGUUUUCCUGUUAUCAGGUUGGUCUGAAGUACAGUGAAUCUGUUGUCAUAAGGAUAACUGGUUGCCCAAAUGGUUGUGCCCGGCCUUAUAUGGCUGAACUUGGAUUGGUAGGCGAUGGUCCUAACAGCUACCAGGUAUAUCAUGAAUUGCAAGCCAAUGAUUUACUCCAUAACUUUUGGGAAUGCGUACUCAGAUUUUAUAUCUUUGUGAAAGUUUAGUUUCUUAUGAAAAAAAAAGCUUAUAUUUAUGUGCUGCUUCAUGUAUGUGUGUGUUGUCUUGUUCAGAUAUGGCUUGGGGGAACACCCAAUCAAAUGUCACUGGCAAGUACUUUUAUGGAUAAGGUUAAGAUCCACGACCUUGAAAACGUUUUGGAACCUUUAUUUUAUCAUUGGAAGCGUAAACGGCACUCGAAAGAAUCAUUUGGAGCCUUCACAAACCGCUUGGUGAGUGUGUAAUCAAUGGACUCUACAGAUCUCUUUGUUAUUGUCUUGCUUUAACUGAGAAACUGUGAUAAUUUUGAUUAAAUGCUCAUCAGGGGUUCGAGAAGCUUAAAGAGUUAGUUGAAAAAUGGGAUGGUCCUGUACUUUCACCAGCACGUUACAACCUGAAGCUUUUUGCUGACAAAGAUACUUAUGAGGCCAUGGACGAUCUUGCAAAGCUUCAGAAUAAGAAUGCUCAUCAAUUAGCAAUGGAAGUAAUUCGCAACUACGUGGCUGCUCAACACAAUGGGAGGACCGAAUAAUUUGGUAAGAGAGUGUUUAAAUUUUGUCGCCUUAGAAGUUGAUGUUAAAAAAGGGUGAACGAGUGUAAUAGUGUACUCAUUCUCUCCUUAAGCUUGUUACUGUUUUGUAACAGCUGGAAUGAAUCGAUACUGCUGGAUUUGGUAUAAUUUUGUACCCAAAGUUAAUUGUUUAUCUGCAUGAGUUUUGUAUUUACCGUUUCCUUGGAUCUUUGUAUCUUACUUUAAGGUUGCUUCUAAUAAAAUUACCUCCAUUCCAGCUUCUUCUCGUGUGAUCUGUUCUGGCUAGACUGGGAAAUUGAUAUGACAUGGUUGAUAUCAUAGUCAUGUUUGUUUUAUUGUUCAUGUGUUGUGUGGGAGAGGUUUUUUGGCAAGAGUUGAGAAUGUGUCUUAGAAAGAAGUUUUUGCAAGAAGAGUAUCUUUCUGUUCAUGUCGCGUGGGGGUUGAUUUUGGCAGGUCCUAGAUAUGUGCAACGAUAACGAGAUAACGAGUAGUAUAUUGAGAAUAUACACUAUCCGUACGAUGUAUCUAUUGUAUAUGCACUAGUUUAAAGGAGACGUGCUCGAGUGCAAAAGCCUGAGUUGAAAGAAGUGGCUCGUGUGACACAAAUACAAAAAGCUAGACUGGUUACAUUAGUCUAACGAUGACGAUGUAAGCGUUUCGAACGAGAUAUUAUGAUUUAGGAGUUAGUCAAUUGUUAGACAUUUGAAUAAAAUAUUAUAGUUUAGAGGCUAGUCCAUCAUUGCCAAACUUUGAGUAAGGAUAUUAUGAUUUAGGGACUUGUCCAUCAUUUUCAUACAUGCAUGGACACGAGUGCGGUCAUGGAGAACAUAACAACCAUAUGAGCAACACCAGAAAAUUAGGAGGGACUAAAGCAACCAAGAGUUCAGAGUCACGAUGACAAUCAACUCGAAAUUGACAACGUCCAAGUUGUGGGAUACGUUGAUUUUUUUUUAAUGUUGUACUAUUGUAGUCAUUCUACCUUUAUAUUUAAUUGAUUUUCAACUACAAAACAAUUACUAUAAAUUUAGAUAUAAAUAUCUGUAGGGAAUGAUAUUAAAUAUCCGUAGGGAAUGAUAUUAAUAUAGAUCGAGUGAAUUACUAUCAUGAAUUUUUACACUCGAUGGUUGAUGGUUACGAAUUGAAAAUUAAAAAGAAAAUUCUUCCCUUUGAAAAUAGAAAAGAACCAAUUUUAAUGUUAAAAAAAUGGUAAUGGCGAGUCUUGUCCAAUUGUAUGUAAAAAAAGAUUUUGCUUGGUCAAAUUACUCGACCAAAGAAGAGAAAAACAAAAUAGUAAUACUAAUAUAAAUAGUUUGAAAACAACAUUAUUUUAUUAAUUAACCAUUUCUAAAAUAACAUUAUGUAUAUAUUUUUUCUAUGUACAACCAAUUAUGAUAUUUUGUUCGUCAAUUAUAUACUUACCUUGAUGGCGGUUUACAUGACUAAAAAAACGAGUAAGGAGAUGUUACAAUGACAAUUUUUUAAAUGUUACGUAAAUAUGAUUAUUAUAGUAUUUGAUAAUAUCGUUUUAUGAUGGUUUUUUUUUUUGAAAUAUACCAAACUCACAAAAUAUAUACAUUGUAUAGAACAAUUUUGAAAAUAGAAAAGCCCACAUGCCCAUAUGUCCAUCAUGAGAAAUAGAAAAAAAUGUUCCACUCAAUACAUGAUUAAUCGACCACCUAAAUGAUCAUGAUACACGAUCAUGUAAAAAAUGAUACAUGAUCGUGUAGGUAGUAUCAACGUUGGCCACACACGCGCGUGUAACUCUUUUUCUAAAUGAUCAUGAUAUGCGAUUAUGUAGAAAAUGACAUAUGAUCACAUAGUUCAUGAUACAUGUUCGUUAGUUCAUGAUAAACGAUGACUUUGAAAAAGCUCUAGUAAACGAUUGUGUAGAUAAUGAUGCACGAUCAUGUGUAGUUUAUGAUUCACGAUCAAAUAGUUCAUGAUACAUGAUCAUAUAUAGUUCAUGAUAAAUACUGGUUUGAAAAGCCUAUGGUAAACGAUCAUGUAAUUCAUCUUUGUCAAUGACACAUUGAAAAAAAAUACAAUACUGAUAAUUGAUUGAAAACAAGAAAAAUAAUAGUAGAAAUAUAAUGAAAAAGAAUAAUAAUAAUUGUAGGACAAUGAUCAUGAUUUCAAAAAGUUAUAAAAGAAAAAUUGCACAAGAUGAAGAGAAAGUGACCACAGCCGUGAAGAGGAUGAAAAGGAAGAAGGAAGAAAUUGGAGCCACGUGAAUUUCAAAAGCGACAAGGACAAACUUGAAAUAUUUUAAAAAUGACCAAUUUCAUGAACUUUUUAUUUUUUUAUACGGCCUGUAAAUAUUUUAGUGUUUUGUUAUAUUUAUGAAAAUUAACUUUUCUAAUUUUUGAAAUUGUAUCAUUCCAAAAUCAUUAACCCAGUGAAUCAAAUUAUACCUUCAUUAAUUUUUUUUAACUGUUUACGACAUUCAUUUUUUAAACGUGUAUAAAGUUGACUAUUUAAAUACAAUGAACAAUGUAAAUUGAUAAAUAGCGAGAGAGACUCUUUAGGUCAUGAAGAAACCUCAUACUUUUGUUAAGAUAAAAUGAAUUACUUUUCUUAUUAACAAUUAAUUUUGGGAUGAAACUUCGUACUCCUUAAAAGGGUAAGAUUUGAACCCAAAAUUAUGGACUCAAGAUACAACAUAACUUGAUAAAUUGUUAAAAUAACUCGACUUUACUGGCUUUCGGUUAGUUUUGAGAUUAUAUUGAAAAUUUAAAUUUUAGAUUGAUAUACAUAUACACAAUUGUAUCAGAGUUAUAUGUAUCAAAGUUAUUUUUCACAUAGAGAUCCAUCCAUAGAAUAAGGAAUACAUAUAGCUUUUAUUAAUACAUAUAAAAACACAUAGCAAUACAUGGAUCCAAAGACCGUAUAUUAUACACAUUUCUUCCACACCUUUCUUCUCUCAAAACAAGCACACACACCCACACAAAAUAUAUAAAUUUCAUCCUCUCAUUACCAAAGUAAUUAAACAAGAACACACCUUAAUUAGUUACUUACUUGAGCCUCUUUUGAAGAACCAAAAACCAACCUAGGGACCGUAGGUAUAUGCAGCCGAGGAGGCCAAUCAGAAGGCAAUUGAACUUGAUUCCACAUAGUAACUUUUUGAACAACAUCAUCAUCAUCAUCUUCAAAAAUCUCUAUCUGAAAAAACACUGUUUUCCCAACAGGACUCUCAAUCAAAGCUUCUGAUCCAAAAUCGUUUUGGUUCAACUUGUAACAUGUUCUACAUGUCACCACAAUUGGGGCACUCCCUUUUGGAAUUUUAUCAAGCCCUUUUACCAAAACGUGGACACUCAAAACAUUAGUGAUUGAUGAAAAAAACAAAGACAAAUUUAUGUUUGGGAAAACAUUGAAAUAAAAUGGACCAUCUCCUAACUUUGAUUCAACUAAAGCAAGUAGUGAAUCUUCAAGUUUUUCAAUUCUAUUGUCACGUAGACAUAAAAUUAUGGAAGCAUUUGGAGGGAUUUUUUUGGUUAGGGUUUUGACACCAAUUUGAACAAGGCCUAUGUUCAUUGUGUUGAAGAAUGAGAUUCUUCUUCUUCUACAAUAACUUGAAGGGGUUUGACCAUAUAAUUUAAAAGAUCCUCCUUCAUUGCCAAAGCUAAUUUGGCCUUCUGUGGUUCUGAUGGAAGGAUCAUUCUUUGAAGGAAAAAUAAAAAAGUGGUUCUUUCUUCUUUCUUCAUAGAUUUUGUGGAUUGGGACUCUUGGCAUCUUCCAUUUCACUAAACUUUUACCUUUUUCAACAUAUUCUUCUUCUUCUAAUGAAUGAUCACCAACAAAAUUCUUGGAGCUGCAAGACUUAAAAAAGAGUGACAUUGUUUUUUUCCUUCUUGAGAGACGAAGAACCGAUAAUCAAAAUAACAGUGUACCUCUUUCGAUAUUUGGCUUCUUUGAACACAAACAAAAUAUGCUAAGGAACACUACAGAAAUAUAUAUUUUUGGAUGCAAUGUGUGGUGGUUCAAAUUUGAAGAAAUCAAUACCACCUUUAUAGGAGUGUCACGAGUGUGUGAAUUAUUGUGGGGAGAGAGAAAGCUUAAAGAAAAAAUAUGUAUUAUAAUUUAAACUUG
rnacentral:lncRNA from 1 species